AAGAAUUGAACCUCUGAAGUACUGAAGAAUUGAAGAUUCAAACUUCUACAAGCUCUCAAGACGUCAAAAUUCAUAUCAACCUGGAGAUCAACAACUUCUGAAAGUUGGAAGAUUAAACUUUCCUUGGAUUCCAUAAGAUCGAAGUUCAAAUCAACUUGCAACUACAAUAUCCUAAAGAUCGAAGAUCAAAAAGUUAUAAGUUUUAACUUGUAUUCGAGAGAAAGCAUCAAAGGAGUAAAUACUAGAGGUUGUAUGCACAAUAUUCAUCAAUAUAUAAAGUUCAAUUCCACGAAAUACAUUUAUUCGAAAUCUCGUGUGAACAGUGAGAAUAUGGUUAACCAAGUUUAAAUAUAUAAUGCAACAAUACAAACGUAGUGACCAUAAUCACAAAAUUUAAACCGAACUCAAACAACACAUGAACAUAAAAUAAAAAGCAACGUACCAACAUUGUUUACUAUCGAAUAAUAGUCCAAAUCAAAUCAUGGAUUGGUCAAACAUUAUCUUUAGGAGAAUAUUACAAAGAAAAAAAAGUAUGAAAAAGUGCAUUUUAUAAAAUAUUAUUAUAACUAAACUAAAAGUAUUUUCUUGAAUAACCUAAAAAAACUCAUUUUUGUUUAACAUUUUUUCUAAAAACUUCUUAAAAUAAAAACACAAUCGUGUUUUAAAAUAUAUAUUUUAAAAAAUAUUUAUACGUACAAAUUUCUUUUGUUUGUUAUAUAUACUAAAAAAUAUUUUUAUAAAAAAUCUUCAAGACUAAUCGAUGACAACCGUCGUCGAAGUUGAUUAUCGGAAGUUCGUCGAUGGAGUCUCUAGAGAUGAUGGUGGGAGAUUGGCCGACCAUGAUCAUUGAAGAUUAGCCUAAACCCAAAAGAUAAAAAUAAUUUUUUUGUAAUAAAAGUAAACUAACAUUUGACUGAACAAUUUUCUCUAUUCCUUUUGACUUCUUUUGGAUUUUUUUUCUUUUUCAAAAUAAGAAUGGUCACUUUGAUUCUCAAUUUUGUCGGAUUAUAAUAAUUUAUACUCAAACACAUAUUAUAAUAACUCGUACUAUAAUAAUUUAAACAUAAACACAAAUUAUAAUAACUAAUAUUAUAAUAUUAUGUACCCUAAACACGACUAUAACAACUUAAACUAUAAUACUAUGCACCAAACUUCUCCUAAAAGAAUUUGUUUAUAUGAAUAUGAUGUCUCUCUAAAGAUGAAGAAACAAUUUAUUUAUAGAGAGUGAUAUUGCAAAAAGUUAGUGAAACUUAGGACUGAACAUUGACUUUAAAAAAAUCAAUUCAAACAAUCGAAAUUAACCAAAUCUAUUUAUUAUUUAAUAUUAAAUAAAACAAACCGCUCAUAGUAAUCGUUCCUAGAUUUGGUCGAUUUCCUAAACCUUAAGUGUAUAUUUUCAUUCUAUAGGUUUUGUUUACAGCACUCGGGUGAAAAAAUGGCGCCCAAGGGAAAGAAAACCAAUAGCCCUACUAGCGACAGCGACGAGGACGAAACCUUCUAUUACCGGUAUCCCUCCGCCCCCUCUUCUGACCCGUCGCUGCCGUCGUCUUCACAGUCGCACUUCUCAUCGCAAUCGCACUCACACUCACACUCUUCCACUAAGUCUGGCGGUGGUUCUGGAGGUUUGGUUCCUUCGAAGUCUACUCUCUAUGUUUCCAAUUUCGACUAUUCACUCACUAAUUCCGACCUCCACACUCUCUUCUCCAACUUUGGUAAGAUCGCUCGUGUUACGGUGUUGAAAGAUCGACAGACUCGCAAGUCUCGCGGCGUUGCCUUCGUCCAGUUUAUUUCUCAGGACGACGCGGUGAAGGCCGCGAAACAGAUGCACGGGAAGAUUUUGAAUGGCCGUGUUCUUAAGGCUGCUAUAGCGACUGAUAAUGGUCGUGCCGCUGAGUUUAUAAGGAAGAGGGUUUAUAAGGAUAAGAGUAGGUGCUACGAGUGCGGCGCAAUUGAUGGGCAUUUGUCUUAUGAAUGCCCUAAAAAUCAAUUGGGGCCAAGGGAGCGACCAGAACCGAAGCGGGUAAGAAGGGGUGGAGUUGGUGCUAGGCACGAGGAGGAUUGGGGAUCGGAUGUUGGAGAAGGGUUUGAGGAUGACAAUUGGGCCUCGGUGGUGGACGGAGAUGCAGACCAGAGACUCCUGACUGGCGGUGAGAACAUUGUAGAGAAGAAAAAAGAGAAGAAAGCAAGUUAUUUCAGUGACGAGAGCGACGAAGAUGAUUAACUGAGCCUGUCUCUUUGGGAAGAGUUUGUAAAAGGUGCGUGGUUUUUACUAUUGUAUUGUUUUUAUCUGCCGUUCCAUUAUAUUUUGAACCUCUAUUUCUGGUUGAUUUUGGUGCAUGAUUUUUGGGUGGCAUUGUUAGAUGAGAUAAAGCUUACAGAGUUUAGAUUUUGGGCUGCCGGGUGCGAUAAGUAAUAAUGAGUUACAGGUAUGUAGUCUACACUUCGUGGUAAUGUCAGGAGUAGUCAGGAUUGGAAUACUAACUCUUAACCUAUGGCACUUGCUCUCCACCAAUAGGUUAGUAAUUGAAACUAGAAAUGUUAUGUUGAAUUCAAAGACUCUCUUUGGAGAGCUGAAAUGUAUGAGUUUAAUUACAAAUCGGCUCUAAAACGCUGAAUCCAACCAUUGGUUAUUGAUUACAUUACAUUACAAUCUCAUCCGAUGACGGUCUACCGAAUACCCAAGGAUUUAGGCACCGCUGUUAACAGUAUAUGAGCACUACACUGGAAUUUGGAAGUGGUAAUAAAUACUCAUCUUCCAAUGCCUCCUGUUUUCUUUUAAGAGUUAAGGAUUUCUGCAGUCAGAGAGUAUAAGUUGCUUAUUCAAUCUCAUGAGCAUGAGCAAUAUUUGUAUUUUUGUACAUUUUGGAAUUCCCAUAUCAUGAUCUCGGCGUUUAAUGCCAAGGGCUUGAUUUCCCAAUGUGCCAAGACUUGUCCAAAGGAUUCUUUGAUCAAACAUUAUUGUUAUUAUUAUUCUUUUUGAGGAGACAUUUCUUUUAUCAGAAACAUAUAAAUAAUUUCAUUGAUGGGAUGAAAUUACAAAAGAGCACAUAUGCUGCGAGAGAUUACAAAGAUUAUUCCAUUGUGAUAUAAGAGAAGUAAGAUUGUAAUAAUGAAAGUGUGGGGUGAAUUUACACCAAGUGAAGGUUGUAUACAAAAGAUGAUCGAAAAGUGAGUGAAGUCGGAUUCCUUAUCUUUGAAAGUACGAUGGUGGCAUUUGUUUCAGAUGAGCCAAAAGAGAACUCUUCACUAAGAUUAGAUGAAAAGCAAGGGUGGGGAACUCCAGAAAACCCAAGGGACUUGGGAGAAAAAUCAAUCCAAUGACAUCAAUCGAUAAUGAGAGUGAAGUCAUUACUUAAACCUUUAAAGUGGAUACACGUUCACCAAUUUUAAGGUUCAUACCUUGUGGUUUGGAUCAGUGUUAGGUGGUCUGCUCUCUUCUAGUUAGCAUCAUAGUUCAACAUUUUAACCUAAUAUAUUGUAAUCCUCUUCUUCCUACUGACUAUUUGUCCAUUUAGGCACAUUUUCUAAUAAUUUUGCUUUUAGUUUUGUUUGUUUUCUUCUGUUCAAAGACUAGGAAAGAAAAAGUAGUUUUCAAGAACAUUUUUAUCAAUUGUUCAAAGAAGUUUAGUCAUAAGUAAUUUUCAUAAGCAUAAUUUUGUGAAACAAAAUUGUUGCCAAAUAGAGGCUUAAGUUUUUUUAGCUUUCAACUUGACUUUGUGAUCAAUCUCUUCAUGUUUGAAAGAAGAAGGCAUUUGCCACAUUUUAGCGAAGAAGGCAUUUGCCACAUUUUAGCUUUCUCCCCUUUACCACUUUGUUUUAGUGGAGCUACGUGAGGAAAAGGUGCCAUGUCUCUGAACUAUUUUGAUUUAUCAUUCAUAUAAUUUCUUACUUCUAAAUCUCUGAUGUACCGCAAAAAAUAUUGCUAAUAUAUUUGAAUCUAUCUAUUCUAUAACUUAUAUUCUUGCACUUUCAAUGCUUUGAUCAUAGUCACAAGAUGUGUGUGGAAACAACAAAAUGCAACCUUAAACAUAUUGGGUUAAAGAAAUAUUCGAUAUCACUGAUUUCAACUUUUGAUUAUCACUGAUUCAUCUAUAAUUUUGGCUGGAUCCAUGAUCUUCCUAACUCAUAGUAGUAUAUGUUUAUCAUAACCAAUACGUCUUACUGUCGUUACAACAUCUUUGUGGGUUUUUGUUAUUGUUUUGCUUUGUUUUAGCUGUUGGUUUAUUUGACUAGUGACUUACAUGAGAUUUAGUCUACCUUGACAUUUCUCAUAACACGACCCGUCCUUGUCUUCUGAGCUAAGAGGAUCAGGCUUAGUCAAGUCUACCGUCACAUUUCAAUUUAAUGAUCUAUUAUGUUUGAUUUUUCGUGAAUUUGUGUUACUUAAUAUGAUCUAUUUUGUUUCUCGCUUAUCAAAUAAUUGGAAUCAAGAGGAGAUUUGUUUAACAUUUGAUGAGAAUGGUGAUGCGUUAAAGAUUCGAUUUUAUUGCCAAGUGUCUUCGUGAGAUUAUGUCUUUCGGUAGUGUUGAAAGAGCUACUGUUUCUAAUUUUGGUUCAUUUCUUGUUAUGGGAGAUUGGUUUAAGAUAUGGAAUAAAUGUAGUUCAUUUCAGGGUAAUGAUGUUGCAAAGCUUUUUAAUAUUCCUUCACACAACCAUGGUUCCCUGUAUUCAGUCACCUUUAUUUUCUUGUGGCAGGCUACAUUAAGAUAUAUCAAGGUUGGAGACCAAAGUUGAGAGGCUAAAGUCGGUAGUACAAGUUAAAGAUAGGGAGAUUGCAACAGUUACACGAAUAGUACAAUCUCGAGACUUGUCUAAAUUCCAUGAUUUCUCUCUAUUUAACAUUGAACAAGGAAGUUCUUUUCCACAGGAAGCCAAAGGUAAGGCUGCUUUUAAAGCUCAAAUUGACAAGCUACAGUAGGAAAAUGUUGAACUCCAGAGAAGGGUUAUUGGCAAUCAGGUUAUGGUAGUUGGAUGCUGUGAGAUAGAUACUAGUUUCUAUGUAAUAAUUUUAGUACUAAUGUUGUUUUCUGUUUGUGUGCAAAGCAAGUAAGAACUCAACAAAUACAUGAGAUGAAGAAGAAAGAAAAGGAGUACAUCAAAUUGCAGGUGAGAACCUACAGGGUAUAGGAAUACCUACAGGAAAGCUGGAUAUGUAUGUUGCUGCUGCUGGCAUAAACCCUCAAAGAGUAUGUUUUUCUUAGACAAGCUCAACGCCCUCCCUUCAUCCAAUGGUUGUUUAUCCAACUUGAUUUCAAUCAGUUGUGGCUAUUGUUUUAAUUGUUUAUAGGAUUGCCUGCAUUCAGAUUGUUUUAUCUUCUCAUGUUGGGCUACUUCCAAGAAAUUUUUUAAGCGAAGGGUGGAUAAUAGCUCGCUUGUUUAGUCUAAACUUGGGGGAUUUCAAAUUUUGCCCAAAUUUCAAAAUUUUUCAAAAGUUUUUCAUUACAAUAACGAGCAUCAUAACUUCUUAGAUCUUGCAUAAAAGGCAUGACUGUCAACCCUUGAGCACUAAGCUCGGGUUUGUGACGUGAGAUUCUGAAUUUUGAGAAUAAGCUUAUGUCCUUUUUGUUUUUGCUAAGUUUCAACUAAUACACUCGGUAUUUAUCUUUGUGCUUAUGUGAUAGAUUUGUUAUGCACUGUAGUGAUGUGGGGUGUUUCCUUAUUUUCUGCAUCUUAACUACCUUAUUUCCUGCAUUUUAACUAUCUUAUUUCCUGCAUCUUAAAUACCUUAUUUUCUGCAUCUUAAAUACCUUAUUUUCUGAAUCUUAGUUGGUACUGAAAUUUGGUUUGUUUCAGUGAAAGAGGCACUAUCAGCAUUGACAUGUACAUGUGAUUUUAGGCAUGAACCAGGAGAGUGAGAGUUUUAGUGUGCCGUGUUUAGAAUUUGCCGAUAUCUUUUUCCCGUUCCAGCAAGUAUUCCUGAUUGUGGGGGUAACUCUCAAGUCUGCAGUCUUUUCUUCAUGAAAUUUGUAGAUUAUCUAAGAAUACUAAUAUCAUUUAAUGUUGACAUUUUUUUAGCAACUUUUCUUAACCCCACUUUUUGAAUUUCAUUAAGUUUACUCUUGUUUAAUUGACAGAUUCUUCCAGUAAUGCUAGAUAUUGGUACUAACAACGAGAAGUUACUUAAUGAUUCUCUUUGUAAGUGAAAGGGAAACCUUCAUGUCGUUUAUCUCCAUAUUUUCCAUGUAAUGUAUUGUGCUUAUAUUGAUCUGUUUCUGUUGUCAAUGGCGAUAUAUUUGGGUUUUUUGUUGUUGUUGUGGUGGUGGUGGUGAAAUAUUUUAUUUAAGUCUCUAGUUAAUAUUUAUGCUUACUUAACAGAAAAUUUGUUGCUUGAGCUUGCUUCAUUUGGUUCUUUUACUUGUUUAAGUCCUCCUCUAACUAAUUAUACAUUUCGUCCUUUUACUUGUUUAAGUCCUCCAAAAAGUAUUCAUUACUUUAAUAAAUUCCCUCACCAGCAUCAUCACCUCUUAUUCAACAAACUGUUUUUUCCCAAAAGCAAAAAAGGAAAAAAAAAAAAAAGAUAAAGACAAUCAAGAACAACCAUCAACUACAUGAAAAAAAAAGAGAAGAAAAAGAUAGCUACCGAAAAACAUUACUACCCAUUUUCAUUAUCAUCAUCCUCUACUAUGCUUUUCCACCUUCUUCUAACCCAUUUUUCCAUUGCAGGAUUUAUUGGAGUUGAGGAGUCCCACAAUCUUUAUGUUCUGUUUGUUUUUCCAUCACUUUUUCAAGGCUGUUCAAUUGGAGUUCCAUCUUCAGGUAAUAUUAAUGUGUUUGUUUCUAAGAUAAUUUUGUUAAACACUUGUUUUUGUUGUCCCCAUCCACCAGCUGUUUGAUGAAAUGCCGCAUUGAAUAAUUUUGUGGGUUCUUGGGAAGCGUGUGAUCUAUGUGUUGUGGAAUUUGUAUAAUUAGUUAGAGUGAUUUAGGAAAACUUUUGUAUUUGUAGUUGAAUAGAUAAUUCAUUCCAUAUUUAGAGCAUGAUUAAGAGUUAUUUUGAAAUUGUUAAAAUUACUUCAAAAGAUAUUUGGAUAAUUUAAAUGACUUUCUAUUGUAUGUUGAUCACGUUUGAUAGAUCGAAAACUUUUCUUCUUCUCUUCUUCUUCUUUGUUUCUUCCUGCUGCCUAUUUGACCUGCAACUUUGAGUGUAGUUGCUUGGCUGUCUAAUUGCCACCACUCAAAGUCACUCCUUCGCCUUCUUAUCACUCUUAAUUUUCUUGACAACAAAGUCAAACUGCUACAGAACAAUCGAAUUUUCGUUUGAUUAAUUUUCUAUCCACAGGAGGCUUUUGUAUGUUGAUCACCCUUGUUUUCUUUGAAAAGUUUAAAAUUCCAUACACGAUAUAUUGGGAAACUUUCACAUUCCUCGGGACAUUAAAAGCUCAAGAGCAUUGAUUUUGAGCAAAAUAAAAAUGAAAAUCCCUUUUAAUUUCCAGCAACACCAUAUUUGAAGUUCAUUGUAUUUUCUUCUUCCAACUACAGGUUGACGUGAUUGUCUUGACAGAUGGAAGUCGUAUUCUUGGCCUCGGUGACCUUGGAGUUCAGGGAAUAGGAAUACCUAGAUUGGAGGGAGAAGAGUAUCUAUCUAUUGUUGAUGAAUUUAUGGAAGUCGUGCAUACAUGUUGGCCUAAAGCUAUUGUUCAGGUUUAUUGGUUAAGAUAUCAAAUUUUUAACUGUGUUCACUGCCAGAGUAAUCAGUAUCGUAAUCUCGCAAUUUGAUUUUGAAUGAUGCCAGUUUGAGGAUUUUCAAAUGAAAUGGGCUUUUGAAACAUUACAACGUUAUCGUAAGAGGUUCUGCAUGUUCAACGAUGACAUACAAGUGAGUAGUUCAUGUUGUAUUCAUGCAGUUGAUAAUUACUUAAAAGGACAUUCAUUUUCGUUUAUUUCAUUUCAUAAAGGGAACUGCUGGUGUUGCUCUCGCUGGACUAUUGGGAAAUGUGAGAGCUCAAGGGCAGCCAUUGAGUGAUUUUGUUAACCAAAAGAUAGUAGUGGUAGGGGCUGGAAGGUAUUGUCAGCUGUUUAACUUUAACAUUUUCUCCAAAUAGCAAUACUGCUAACUAUUUAGGGAUCAUAAGCCUUGUCCUCUUUGUUGAAACAAAAGUGGUUGUUUGAAAGAGGAAUUACUAUUACUAUUACUAUUACUAUUACGUGAAUAUAAGAGAAAUGAAAACUUUGGAAACUAUAGUUCAAUCCUUUUGGUUUAACCUUCAUUUGUUUCAACAUGCUGUUUUUUCUCCUCUUUCAACUUCAGUGUUGGGCUCGGUGUUCUUAACAUGGCUAUUCAGGCUGUUUUGAGAAUGGUAGGGAACAACGAUUCUACUGCAAGAAAUCGAUUUUUUUUCUAAUAGACAAAGAUGUAAGAAUCUUUUUCAAACUUUCAUUUCUCAAUUUAUGCAUCAGUCUGUCCAAGUUUUUCCUUCCAUGAGAGUUACUGAUUUCAGAAACCAAUCGGAUGGGGUUUGGAAUUUGGGUAGCUUUAUUAUGGGUUAAUUUGUAUGACGCAGUUUCGUGUGAAAAGUAUGAGGCAGUUGAAGAAGUUAAAUGACUUGUGGUGGUAGUAAUCAGUGUCAAACUCAUGUGGUUUUUAACUUACAAAGAAAGAGGAAAAAUAUCAACUUAGUCCGAUGCAGAUUAGGGUUUUAAGUCUUCUAUCUAAUUGUUUGUGUGAUAAAUGCAGUUACUUUAUCAAAAACAAAGAAGAAAAGGAAGGGACCACAAGAUUCUUUAGUAUUUUAAUUUUAUUGCAUUACAUUAUAUUCAAUCUUCAUUUUUCUUGGUUGUGCUGCAAAUGGUGUUUCUUCUAUUAUGGAUUUGCAUUAUACAACAUUGCCAUAUUAAGUCAUAAAGUUAUGAAAAUUAGAAACACACCCUUUGUAGGAGAGAACAUGAUCCUUCCUUUGAAGUAAAUUGAGAGAAUUUCCUCUACUGCCUCAAUUUUAAGGCUUGAGGUUUGAAGAACAAGGAUGAAUAAUCAACGAAAAAGGAAUGAAGAGGUUUCUCGUUUAGGGAAAAUAGCGAUUUUUCGUUUUUCAUACUUCCAAAACGACACAAGUAUGAACUUAUUGUGUAUUAAAUUGAUCGAGAGGCCUUCCAAUUGUUUGUUAAUCUAUAGUUUCUGUCUCUAUUUUAAUUAACUGCUACAUGUAGAAGCCUAACUAACUUAGUUAGAGUUCUAUCAAAAAAAGGAAAGAAAAAAAGGAAGAAGAAAGAUCAUGUGAUAAAUUUAUAGAAAUGCCAUGCAAUUAUUUUCUAACUAUUAAUUUAUGUUUCUGUGGUAAAUUACUGCUACUAGAAAUCUAAUUGUGUUCGGUUAGUUAGACUUCAUGGGUUUGAUUUUUUUUUUUUUUUUUGUUAAAGAGGUUCCAUAAGUAUACCGAUGGUUUUGAAAUUUUGAUUUGAUGCAUGUCUGAGAAAUUUCAAGGCUAAAUUAUACAGAAUACCCAUAAACUUUGUACUUUAUAUAAAAAUACCAUUGAAAAUACACCCAAAACAUAAACUACCAAAAGUGUUAAAAAUACAGUUAAUAUAAUUAUCCUAAUUUUAGUAAUAAAUGAAAUUGAGAGAACUUUCUUUGAUUUUCAGGAACAAGGAUGAAUAAUCAAUGAAAAAGGAAUGAAGAGGUUUAUCCAUGCAAGCUUCAAACCAAAGCCAAGGAUGUCGAUCCUUCCAGGGGAGUCCAAAGUUCUCCCUUAUUUUUCUCCCUUUAUUUUGAUUUUCAAAAGUUUGCAAUUUUUUAAGUGGGGGUGGGCAAUUGCUUGCAUGUUUAGUCUAAACUUGGAGGUUCAAAUUUUGCCCAAAUUUCAAAAUUUCUAAAAAAAAUUUCCUUACAAUAAUGAGCACUAUACCUUCUUAGAUUACUUAGAUCUUGCAUAAAAAGCAUGACUAGCAACCCUUGAUCACUGAGCUUGGGUUUGUGAUGUAAAAUUCUGAAUGUUGAUGAGUAUAUGUGCUGAAAUUUGAGAAUAAGCUGCCAGUGUUUUUUGGUUUAAGCCCAUUUUUAGCGAUAUCUUAUGGAGAUGUGAAUGCAUGAUUGAGAAAAUGGUAUGUGUGUUGUGAAUGCUUGAUUGCAUGCAUAUAAUAAAUAAGUGCAUGGAUACUUUUCUAGCUUUGUCUUCCUUUGUUUCUUUGCCAUGACUUACCUAUGAUGCGCUUAGUCCAAACCUAGCCUAGAUAGAGUUAAAAAAGGAUAGGAGGUACUCUUUAGAAAUUGAGAUGGUUUUAACAAAUUUGUCUUGUCAAACAUGAGUUUGGAGCCUCUUGUCUAGCCACAAUGAACUAAAUCCCUUUAGAAAGGGUGGGCAUUAACAAAUCUUGUUGUCACUUCGAAGGGAGCAGUCAAACUUAGAAACUAAGUGUAGAACCAUAGAAAGGUUACCCCAUCGGUUAUUGUGUGCGUACCAAAGAAAGAAAAGAGAGACUUGCAAAUGUAAAACUUAAGACAGCGAGACAAUUAAGAGCUAAAAAAAACAAAGAACAUAUGCAUUAUACAUCAGAAAAAUCCCAUAAAAAAAUGAAGGGAAACUUCACUUUUGGCCUAACCAAAAGCAGACCACCUACUCUUAGCGUUCUAGACAUAGCAUUGAGUUUGAUGAGGGCUUUGAAAAGAGGAGGAAUCCUCCCCGUUCCACACUAGGGGAAAAACGAGACUUGUCACUCCGAAGGGAGCAGUCAAACUUAGCAUUGAGUUCAAGGUAUCCUUCUUAGAUUCUUGAAUCAUGACUACAUUAGGACUACAAUGAGCACCAUUGUUAUGGAUCAAAAUAAAGUUCCAAAUGUUCAUCCAAUCGUGCCAUCAAAUGUGUCAGAAGGAAAUAUUCAUGUUAGCAUUGGAAAGACGUCAAUAGCAGUGGAAAGAAUUGAAGAAAAAAGUGAAACAAAAGUGAAUGGAGACAGGAAAAUGAAAUUAUCCCAGAAAAGCCAACAAUGUGUAGCAAAUGGUACAAACAAGAGUUGAGAAAAGAUGGGGCGUGAUUUCAUGGUUUCAAAUGGGAAGUCAUCAUGUGUAUUUUAAGGGAAAAUAUUUUGUUUUUCUAGUUCCUUUCCAGAAGAUCGGGUAUGUUGUAAAGAUUCUUUCCUCUUAUUUCAAACAGCAUGAUUAAUGUACACUAUGCACUUUAGGUUUUAGAUGUAUUAUUGUGGUAAAUAGCAUCCAUUUUUUUAAAAAAAUAACAAAGUAGAAGCCCUGUAUUCAAUAUCAGUUGACUUGAGUAAAGAGUAGUUCAUUACUGCUCCAACUCCAUGAUUUUAAAAGCAAGUCAAUGGUGCAGAUAGGAUUCUAGAUCUACCGUUUCUUUAACACUCCGAUCCUGUUAAGAGAAUGAUAUAAAAAAAAUGGAAAAAUUACCUUUUUAGUCCCCAAUUUUAUAGAAAUAGGUUUAUUGGUCCUUAGAGUUUUCAAAAUGUACUCUUUUAAUCCUUGAGUGCUUAAUGUUAUACUGGAGACUCUCAAAACCAAUUUUUAGAAGAAGUUAUUCUACCUUAAAAAUGUAUAAAGUUAUAUUGGGGACUUUCUAAACCAAUUUUUAUAAACUUAGAGACUAAAAAGGUGCAUGACCAAAUGGGUCUAUUUUUCUAAACCUGGAGACUAAAAAUGUACAUUUUUAAAACUCAAGAACCAAACACACGUGUUCUUCAAAACCAAAAACUUGGGGAGUAAUUUUCCUAAAAAAUUUAAGAUAGUGCCAAAUGUCAUUUAGCAUGUGAAAUAAUUACGAUUUUCAUUUUUCAUUUGAGGAAUAUGCCUUCAAAAUUUUUUUACAUUUUAUUUUUGAACACUAACAAACAUGCAUCAACUUUUGACUUCCAUAAUCCCAAAUAUUUUUUAUGUAUAUUUUGAUAUCAUAUUUGAAAUUCUCCUACUAGAGAGCUGAAAUUGUUGAAUUGAUAAAUCAAGGGGGAGGCGAGGUUGUUGAAGAUCACAUGAAGCAGAAAGUGCACUUCACUGUUGAAUGUCAUGGUGGGAUACCAAGGAGUACAGACGUUCAUAGUACUUAUGUGUCAAGUCAUCGGGUUCGAUCAUGUUUAGAGGUAAGCGAUAAUUAAUUGUCUUAUUUGUGAUUUCAAUUUAGAGCUCUACUAUUGGGUUUUGUUUGUGUUUCCCUUUUUGGACAUAAAAGUCCACACAAGGUUGAAUAGCAUAUUUUGUUUCAUUUAGUCACUGCAAGUUUGGAUUGUGUUUGGGUUGGAGCUUUGAAUUUUGAGGGACUUUAGUUUUGUGUUGAGCCACGCUCUUAUAAUAUGAAGGAUGGAUACUGUUUUUUCCAAAACCAAACGCACAUCAGUUUUCUAAGAUUAUCCAUUAAGGUUGGUCUGAAAAGAAAAGGGUGGUCUAUCUUGGAAAACAUAUUUGGUUGUUCUCUUUUUUCUUCACUCUGUCUACAUUUUGGAAAUAUGAGUGCUAUCAUUGUGUGAGAGGUUUCUUUAUUGACAAAAUUAAUUGGAGUUCAACAUUUGAAGAAGUCUUUCUAUGACUGUCCCUUGAACUCCAAAGGUUUGCACUCCAUCCCUGUGCCAAACAAAUAGAUGCUUCUUAUAUAUUUUUCUCUGGAAUUGAGAAAGUAUUGAUGCACACUUCUGUUAAAUGCGUUAAAUUACGGCUUUGAAGCCAAUUUUGAAUGGAUAGUUGGCGUAGAAACUGCCAUUAUUGAUGAAAUUUGAUACUACUGAUGAUUUUUAAUUUUAAUUUUAUAUUAUUAUUAAUUUCGUAGCCUAAUUAUGUUCAAUAUCUUAAACUGAUAUUUGAAAUGAGAAUUGAAUAUUUAUCUUGUUUUUAUUUGUUCACUGACUAUUUCAAAUAAACUCGUUAUGAAGGAUGGAUGUUUGUGGGAUACCAAUGGGCACAUUUUCUAUUCUCCUCUUCCUUGCUGUGUCCCUUUGCCUGGAUUUGAAAACAUACGGUUUUGUGUUUCACAAUAUGAUGACAAAGAAGAGUAUUGUUAAGAAAUCUGUGUUUUGUACUUGGGGCCAAGUUUGUGGAGAAGCUGACAAAGAAGGUAACCCAUCUAAUAUGCAAGUUCACCGAUGGGACAAAGUAUGAGGCUGCUUGUAAAUGGGGGAAAACAAUGCAUUACAGCUGAAUGGAUAUAUGAGUGUGUCAACCAGGUACCUUUGCGAUUUUGUUGCUUUUCAAUUAAAUAUGUUCACGUACAUGCAUAUCCUGAUAGAAUUCUAGACCCAUUGGUGUAUCCUUCUAUUAGGAUUGAUGUUUUUUAUGUUUAAACUUUUGGUUUCCUUUGCAUUUGGUUUAAUCCUUAAUGGUACCAGAUUUUCCCGCCAGACUGUUCGCUUGUUGGUCAAGACCAUUCAGAAACUUCUCCAAUUGGUGCUUUAUCUAACCAGUGGUCAAAAAGGUAAUUUUUGCCAUUGUCUCCUUGAUCUUCUUAUGGAAAGACCAUGCUGAAUUGAAGUGUUUAACAAGAACGGUCGCUGCCUGGAAAUAUAGUGAGACCAUUCAACGAAGUCGUUAUGAAAGAGUUUUAUUUUCACUAUAAGAGAAAUAUUUUUUUUAUAUUCUUUUAGUCUCUACUGAUGAAUUGCUUCCUAGAACAAUAUAAUUUAUAAUUUCUUUCAAAAUAGGUUUCGUUUGAGUAAUAGUGUUAAUUAUAAAACUCAAAUCACACCGUUUGCAAUGCCUUGAAAACCAGUAUUCACAAAUAAAUGCUAUCCUUGAGCAUUAACUUUUUUCAUGGGACAUUUGCAAAAAUGGUAAAACAAGUUAUAACUUUAUUAUUUGUGAAAAUGAUCAAAUAAAGUCCAGCCCACCCAUAUAAAAGCCUGGAUUUGAUUAUUUUUGCUAUAUUUUCAAAAUCACAAACCUUAAAGACAUUUUUGCAAAAUACCUAAACUAAUUUGCCACCCAAUAUAGUUUUUCCUUUUUCAUUUUAGAAAAACCAGGUUUGGAAAUAAAGGCAGUAGGUUAUUUCUUUAAAAACUAGCCAUUAAAUAUCCCUGUAUUCUAAGUGGAUCUUAGCAUAAUGCAAGCUUUAGUGUUUUUUCGAGAAAGACUAUUAUGUUCGAACACAAUUCAAUUUUGCCUUUGUAACUUGGUUUUUGAGACCUUUGUGUCUUGUAUUUUCUCAGAGCUGAAAGAAAAGAAGAUGUCAGCAAUUCUACUACUGAAGAUGGGACUGUGGGCAUAUGUGAUGGCUUUAGUGAAACACAAACAGAGUCUCAGGUGUGUGGCCAUUUUUCUUUUUGUGAACUAUAACUCUAUCAAUUAUAGUAAUUUUUUUAAAAAAUUGCCACCAUUUUCGUCAACUUGAUUACAAGAGGACUAAAGAACGAACUAUAACUCAUAAGAUUUUUUAUGGAGUAGGAAUUAGGGUAUUAUGGUCAAAUUCUUAAUAUAUUAGGAUUAGGAUUAGUUUCUUUUAUUAAUUAGGAUUAGUUUGAUUUUAAUAGAGUACUUGUCUUCUUGUAUUCACAAAUUUAAAUAUUAAUAAAAUUCUCUCAUUUGGUCUACAACAAAUUGUUAUCGGUAUUAGAAGCAAACGUUUGGACCAACUUUGAUUGCCAUCGGUGGAAAAUUGGAAAUUUUUUCGUGAUGUCUGAUCAGAAGAGGGAGCCUUGUGAGUUGUUCGCAUUGCUAAACAACAACACAUCUAACUGGGGGAACCCUUAAAAUUAAAAAAGAAAGGAAGAAGAAAGAAAUUCAUCCUAAUUUUGCAUGGAUGCAUUUGUACACAUCAAGGAAGACAGGUGAAGAAAAAAUAUACUAGUUGGCUAGUUGGUAUAGGCAAGAAACUCAAAUUUCCUCCCAAAUGAAGAAUUGGAGUUCUGAUUCAAGUGAUUCAAAUGAAGAAUUCUAACACAAUAAUUUUGCUCGUGCUUGAUUUUCUAAAAGAACCUAUCAUUAUCCACAUUUGAAAUUUGGUUACAGUGAUUCUAGCGAUUUCAACAAAGAUUCUAAUGCAGCUUGGAACAAAAUAACAAGGAUGGACGGUGGUAAAAAUAUCAAGACAGAUGGAACUUGUCUUGAUGAACCUUUCUUAAUGAGAAGAGGAAAAGUGAGAACAUUUUUUAUGAAAUUUGAUACUACUGAUGAUUUUUAAUUUUAAUUUUAUAUUUAUUAUUUAUUUCGUAACCUAAUUAUGUUCAAUAUCUUAAACUGAUAUUUGAAAUGAGAAUUGAAUAUUUAUCUUGUUUUUAUUUGUUUACUGACUAUUUCAAAUAAACUCGUUAUGAAGGAUGGAUGUUUGUGGGAUACCAAUGGGCACAUUCUCUAUUCUCCUCUUCCUUGCUGUGUCCCUUUGCCUGGAUUUGAAAACAUACGAUUUUGUGUUUCACAAUAUGAUGAUAAAGACAGAGUAUUGUUAAGAAAUCUGUGUUUUGUACUUGGGGCCAAGUUUGUGGAGAAGCUGACAAAGAAGGUAACCCAUCUAAUAUGCAAGUUCACCGAUGGGACAAAGUUUGAGGCUGCUUGUAAAUGGGGCAAACAAUGCAUUACAGCUGAAUGGAUAUAUGAGUGUGUCAGAUAGGUACCUUUGCGAUUUUGUUGCUUUUCAAUUAUAUAUGUUCACGUACAUGCAUAUCCUGAUAGAAUUCUAGACCCAUUGUGUUGAUAUUUCUUCUCUUAGAUAUGGAAUGAUUUUGUUUGAAUACAAAACUUUCAGAGAAAGAUUGUCUCUCUUGAUUUGUAUCGCCCAAAAGAAGUUAAAGCUCAAGACAGAGCGACAGGCUUAUGCACUGUCAGCCAAUUUCCUACUCAAGCUGCCCCCAAUGAUAGCCAAUGAAAGCAUAUCCCAGUUUCCUAUCCAUUCUGCCAUUCCGAGAGACCAAUCAGCUGGAACUAACAGUAGCUUUAUAGGAGCAGCUGAACGAAUAAGUUCUACGAAGAAAAGCGCAAGUUCUUUGACGAAGCCAUAGAAAAGCAUUCACUUUUGUUGGAAACAGAUCCACUCAAUCUGACUGCAUUUUGAAUUCCACACAAAACAAACUACAUCAAAUUCUUCUGUAGUAACUUCACACGUUCCUGAUGUCGCUUCCGCAAUUGAGGACUUGUUGGAGGCAGACAACUAAGGUAAAAUCUGGUUUGAGCUACAAUUCCAUUUUUAUUUUAUUUUUUCCUUCAAAUCCUUUUGUUUUCCUUUCUUUUUAAGAUUCAAGAUCAGAAGUCACCUGGAAAGACUGGCUGCGAUAAAAGUAUUAUCCUUCUAUUAGGAUUGAUGUUUUUUAUGUUUAAACUUUUGGUUUCGUUUGCAUUUGGUUUAAUCCUUAAUGGUACCAGAUUUUCCUACCAGACUGUUCGCUUGUUGGUCAAGACCAUUCAAAAACUUCUCCAAUUGGUGCUUUAUCUAACCAGUGGUCAAAAAGGUAAUUUUUGCCGUUGUCUCCUUGAUCUUCUUAUGGAAAGACCAUGCUGAAUUGAAGUGUUUAACAAGAACGGUCGCUGCCUGGAAAUAUAGUGAGACCAUUCAACGAAGUCGUUAUGAAAGAGUUUAUUUUCACUAUAAGAGAAAUAUUUUUUUUAUAUUCUUUUAGUCUCUACUGAUGAAUUGCUUCCUAGAACAAUAUAAUUUAUAAUUUCUUUCAAAAUAGGUUCGUUUGAGUAAUAGUGUUAAUUAUAAAACUCAAAUCACACCGUUUGCAAUGCUUAAAAACCAGUAUUCACAAAUAAAUGCUAUCCUUGAGCAUUAACUUUUUUCAUGGGACAUUUGCAAAAAUGGUAAAACAAGUUAUAACUUUAUUAUUUGAGAAAAUGAUCAAAUAAAGUCCAGCCCACCCAUAUAAAAGCCUGGAUUUGAUUAUUUUUGCUAUAUUUUCAAAAUCACAAACCUUAAAGACAUUUUUGCAAAAUACCUAAACUAAUUUGCCACCGAAUAUAGUUUUCCUUUUUCAUUUUAGAAAAACCAGGUUUGGAAAUAAAGGCAGUAGGUUAUUUCUUUAAAAACUAGCCAUUAAAUAUCCCUGUAUUCUAAGUGGAUCUUAGCAUAAUGCAAGCUUUAGUGUUUUUUCGAGAAAGACUAUUAUGUUCGAACACAAUUCAAUUUUGCCUUUGUAACUUGGUUUUUGAGACCUUUGUGUCUUGUAUUUUCUCAGAGCUGAAAGAAAAGAAGAUGUCGGCAAUUCUACUACUGAAGAUGGGACUGUGGGCAUAUGUGAUGGCUUUUAGUGAAACACAAACAGAGUCUCAGGUGUAGUGCUAUGCAAUCCAGAAGGGGGAAUGCAACUAUACCCAAUUCAUAAUUGUAUUUGGAAUACUAAUAAUUUUAGCACAAAUUCCAUCUUUCCAUUCUCUAAGACAUAUAAACCUUAUCCCUCUCACUCUAUACCUUGGCUAUAGUGCUCUUGCAACAUAUUAAAAUUCUCGUAAUUAAAAAUUCAUAUACAAUUUAAAUUAAAUUAAACAUCAAGACCCCUAAUGAAUAUGAAUCUCUGUUCAUUUUUCUUUUUAUUAAUAAACAAAAGUUUUUAGGUCCACUUCUUUCAACUAACCUCCUCAGGGAUCCUUAAUUAUCUCUUUCCAUGUUCAUAACUACUCUAGUCAUGCAAAGAUUAGGGUUCAUGGCCAAUCAACAAUUAAUCUGUGAUCAAGAUAUUAUAAACGUUAUUCACAUAAAAACAUGAAAAAGAUUAAGAGCAAAAUAAUCAGAUGCAUUACAAAGAGUAAUUCAUAAACUUUGUCUUCAUCUAUCCCUAGGAUUAAGAGUUUAGCUACCCCAUACUUCACAAUCUAAAACACAAAACUCAAUACAAAACCCAUAACAAAAAUUAAAGGAGAAGAAAAAGAAAAAAGAAGAAGAAAAGCUAGUGAUUCGUAUUAUUAUCAGACUGUGUAUAACAAUAUGUGUUUUUUAAUAUUCUUUGUUUCUAGCUCCAGUGUACCAAAAUAUUAUCACAAACUCCACAAUCCUUCUCUUUCCAAUCCCUAAACUAAAAGAUAAUAGAUUUAAACAAUAAAUCAAGUUAUUCGAGGUACUUGGAUCCUCUCCUUCUUGAGAUCACAAUCUCAAGCCCUAAAACCCAAAUAUUGCUUCUCUUCUCCAUUCCCCUAUCCCUCUAUUUAUAACCAAAUAUAACCCACUCCCUAACUAUUUAUGCCCUCAAUACCCAAAUAACCCCUAAUACCGAUCCUAUUCGUCUCAAGGUGGUUUCAAAAUGUAGACCAUUUUGGAGGGGGCGGUGACUGCAUUUUUACCAUCUUUAUUUAAUUUCAUCUAUGUAGAAUGCCAUAACUCACAGGUUGAUGACGGUGAAUGGGAGCUAUAUCCACAAGUAACUGCUCUAUGCAUUGGAAAUGCUAAAUACUUUGGCGGUGGUAUGAAAAUUUUGCCAAAUGCUGAUCCUUCCAACAGGAGUCUAGAGGUAUAAUUCGUUUCUGUGGGAUUUUGUUUGAUCACUUUUUCCUUCCUUGUCUUCUUAACUAUGUGAUGCUUUUCUUUGCAGGUAGUAAUUCUUCAGGAUUUCAAGUGGUAUGACUUUAUUCUGAAUUUACACAAAAUAUACAAUGGGACAUAUUUGACGGUGAAAAACGUAACAUCAAGAAGGUUAGUCAUCUCUUUAAAAAUUAUAAUGUGCCUAGAUUUUCCAUUUUGUAUUUCAAUUUUCUCUCUCCAACGGUCUGUUUUAUGUUGGAGACUUGUGGAAGCAGAGGUGAAGAAACUAUAAUUGAACUGGAUUUGCAUGGAGCAUUUGCGUUUUAAAUGGGCUUUAUGACAAAUAAUUCAAAUGUUUCUUAAAUGGGCUUUUCUUCUCUAACUCCUUUCUACUUUUUCCCUCCUCCCCCCUUCUCUCUCUCUCAUUUCAAAUUUCUUCCCCCACUUCUUCUCUAACGGCUGCCUCUCUCUCUACUUUCUCUCUCUUCUUCCCUUCUCUCUCUCUCAUUUCAAAUUUCUUCCCCCAACUUAUUCUCUAACUACUGCCUCUCUCUCUCUAUUUUCUCCCUCCUCUCCCCUUCUCUCACACUUUUCUGCCGUGUUUAGGAUAUCUUCUUGUCAAAUCGAACAUUCAACGUAUUUGUAAUUGUGAUUUUGGAAUUAAUGUUUGGUCAAUUUCUUUUCAUAUCCACAGAAUCAAUGAUUUUGAAGUGUUGAAACUUUCUUAUUUAAAUAUUUUAAAGAGCUAUGAGUUUUGAGGUGGAAAAGUUGUUCUCUCUGUGUUGUUUUUUCUCCCUGUUUUGUGGGGCUGUUUUGGAUAUGUUGUUUUUGGUUUUGGUUCUUUGGUGCUUUUGUUUUCUUCAUCUGUUUGUGUUGGAACUCCAGUAUGUAGUAUUUCAAUAGUAAACUUUAUUGAUGAAUAACGAUGUAAAUCCUUAGUACAAUAUAAGAAUGCAAAGACUCUCCAACUGUUUUAAUUUUAUUAAAGUACAUUAUAUUCAAUCUUCAUUUUUUUUGGUUCUUCUGUAAAUGAUGUUUCUUCUAUUAUGGAUUUGCAUUAUACAGCACUGCCAUAUUAAGGCAUAAAGUUACGAAAAUUAGAAACAUACCCUUUGUAGGUGAGAAUGUUGUAUGUAUAUAUAUAUAUAUAUAUAUAUAUAAAUUAGUUAUCUUUUUUAGUCCUAUAUUGUAAAAAAAUAUGAUUGUUUGUUGAAAAAAAAAGGACAAAACAAUGGACCAAUGGACCGCUAAUAUGAGUCGGUGAACGAGAUAAUUAAUUCUCUAAAUCCAUUUAAGCAAAAUUAAAAAAAAAAAUCUAAUAAAAACCCUACAUGUACAGUCUCUCAUUUCAAAUUUCUUUCUCCUCUUCUCUAACGGCCAAGUCUCCCUCUCCUCCCCCCUUCUCUCUUGCUCUCUUGUCUUCUUUGGCCUAUCUCUCAACAGAAACCCUAUCAUACCCAUUUUGCGGAUCCAUCUCCAUCUUCUUCUCUUAGUCGCGGAUCCAAUCUCCAUCUUCUUCUCUUAGUCGCGCAUCCAAUCUCCAUCUUCUUCUCUUAGUCGCAGAUCCAAUCUCCAUCUUCUUCUCUCAGUCGCGGAUCCAAUCUCCAUCUUCUUCUCUCAGUGCGUCCUUUCCAUUUCUUCGUACACUCCAUUUUCGAAACCCUAUCAUACCCAUUUCACCCAUCCAUCUCCAUCUUCUUCUCUUAGCGCAUCCUUUCCAUUUCUUCUUCUUCUUCUUUGUUCGUACACUCCAUUUUCCCUUUCUCUUCUCAAACCCUAAUUCUUCUUUGUUCGUACAACCAAAACCAGUUUAACCAGUGUUGAUUCCUCCUCUACUUCGACCUGUGAUGCUCUUUUCUUCUUCCCUCGCAAUUUCGAUUCCACCAUCCUCACCGAUUUUGGUUGCAAUUUCUACUCUCUUCAACCUCAACCUUCUGGAUUCCCUCACUCUCACCGGAUUGACUUCAAUGUCCUUGGAACCUCCACUACUACUACUACUACUCCACUCAUCAAAGAAUCCGCUGGAUUAUCAGACGCUCCUCUUCCUUUCCUUUCUAAUCCUUGUCUCUCUUUCAACUCCAGCGGUGAGCCCCGAACGAAUCGCAUUACUCCGUGAGUUCCCAAUUAAUUCCAUCUUUAUUUAAUAUUCAAUUGUCCUCUUUCCAUUUGUUUCAAUUAUUGAAUAGAAAGUUACUUGAAUGAACUAUGUUCUAAAUAAUUUCAUGUGGUUCUGGUAAAGCACAGUGCAUCCGGUCGAACUUCCCCCAUUAUGUAAUUUUAUGGAGGUAGUUUUGUAAAUUGGAUUGAAACAGGGGCUAUUCAAUGUGUAUGCAUUAAAAUAUAGGUAUUGUUUUUCAAUUAAAUAUAAAUCGAUUGAGCCUCCGAUGUGCUAGUAAGCGUCAGAUCUCCUCUGUGUAUAUAUAGUUAGGUACUUCUUCUUUUUUUUAGGUUCUGUCAUAUAUAUCACGGUCUGAAGUUGUAGCUGAACUUGCUUUCAUCUUUAGUUUCUAUCACUAUUUAAAGGUCAGAUUUUGUUCGAUUAGAAGAAUGUAAAUUUGUCAAGGACAAUAGCAUGCUUAGUUUAAUUGUACUCAAAUAUUGUUAAUAAAACAAUUGCUUUAUUUGUGUUGAUACCAUUAUUUGUGUGGUAGAUCUCUUGAUUCAUUUUGAUGUUUGUAUUUUGAAGACAUACAAAGGUCAUAAUACUAGUUGCUAUUCUUUUUAUCUUGGUACGUUUCAUUUUUUUUUAAUAUUUCACUGUCUCUAUAAUUGAUUGUACAAACAUAUCUCAUCAUUCAAUCACUUUUCAAGUUUUAGAUUCUGAAAUUUGUACAUAUUGGGGUUUUCCUUUUUCUUUAUUUUGGAUUAUUUCAAAUCUCCAAAGAUCUUUCUUGUAACAUUUGCAUAUUUUAGUUUAUUAAAAUCUUCGAAAGUAGAGGAGAAGGCUCCAAAAGCAUUCUGUCUCUCAUUGCCUUGCCCUAACAUUAUCAUCUGUGUAAGAUGUGUAAGAUGUGCCAAUGAGUAGACCAUGUUCUUUUACUUUUUUUUCCAUAGCUUUUGAACCACUUUCCCUUUCUCUCCUUCUCUUUCAUUCUUCUUUUAUGUUAAUUGGAAGAAGCUUUGAGGCCUCUCUUGAAAAUAAUGAGGUUUUGAAGGGGAUAGAAAGAGAGUGAUGGUGGGAUCCAUCAAAGGUUUUGGGAUUUCACACAAUGUUCGCAUCACUCUUUUAAAUGUAAUUAGAGGUUGAGGAGUUGAUCGCCGAUCAUAGAUAAGGAGGGGCUGGUUAGUGGCUUGAAAAAGAAUUCAGAAUAACAUUAAUUUUUUCUAAAAAAUAAAACCAACCUUCCGACGGUUGGUUAACACUCCUCGACAGUCGAGAUAGGGUAAGACUUGUAUUCUAGUUCUGUUGGUACCUGUAUUUGUGCUUCAUCACUUCAUAAUUGUACUUUUAUUUAUCCCCUUUGCAUGUUUCCAUGUGUUUCAUGUUUGUCUUUUAUGUUUCUUCUAUUUAUAUAUUUCUUCAUGUUCUUCUCCAUUCGGGUUUGCUCUUGCGGAGGUUACACAUUCAUUGUUGUGCUGGUACUUUAGUUAAUGAUGUCUAGUAAUUUUUGUUUUGCAAACUUUAGUUAAUGAUGUCUAGUAAUUUUUGUUUUGCAAAUUUUCUUGUUAGUGCUCAAGUUUGAUUUCAUACUGCCUUUAGCAUAGCUUUACGAUUGCAGAAUUCUUGCACAUUGCCCUUUUUUAUUUUGUUAUUACUGAUGGACUUAUUUGUGAUACCUUUAAAGAAGAAAAUUUAUGGCUAUUUGUGUUGAAGUUUAUUUUUUUGAUUAUUGGUUGGUUUUUUCCCUCCACUUUUCUUAAUAUUUUGAAGUGUGUAAUAAGGUAAGCAAUUUUUUAGUCCCCUAAAAUUUGUUUUGUUGAUGAAUUGUUUCCUUUUUUUUUCUCGGUUUUGUUUUCAGGUUUUCAUCAUUAUUCAUUUGGUGGCUAAAUAUUACUCAUGGGUAUUUGUUCGAUCUUAUUUUGUUGUGAUCAAUUGAUAUACAUAAUAUGCACUAUAAAUUUGUUAAAUUUUUGGAUUAUUUGCUUUUUUAAUAAGGUUGGAGGAACCUCAAGGUACGUUUUGUUAAAGCAUAUUUUAUAUUGAUAAAUUUGAAGUUGUCAAGUCUAUAACAAUGAUAAUGUUAAUACGAGUAAAUUUAUAGCAAAUUUAGUUGACUUAACUUAUUUACAUGCUGGUUGCUCGGACUCUUGGAAAAACGUUACGUGCAUUUUAACCCACGAUAAGAGAACUUAAGGUUGUUAUGACUUACAUAUCAGUUUUUGAGAUUUUCCUUUAUAACUUUUUCAUAGACCUUAUUGUAGUUUUUUGUUCUUUAUUUUUGUUUGUAGGACGUUUCUAGAGAAUGCAAGACCAUGUUUGAGUGAGAAAUUGGUCUCGAUGAAAUUGAGAGUUCAAUGAACAGCACAUACAAUGCAAGUAAAUCUACCUACUCAAACCCAUCUUCUAUUUCUAAAGCAGAAGGGCUUUCGGUGGCUGAACCAAGUGAGUGAUUAAGUUUUUUAUCACCCGUAUUAUUUGUUAUCACUAGGGAAAGAAAGCUGAGUAGAAAAAGUAGAAUGCCAAAUGGAAAAAAAAGAUUAGUAAGCAGCGUUAUUAUUUUAAAAUAGAAAACAAAAAUUAACAUUAUUGUUAAACCGAGCCAUUCUCGAGAACAUGAAAUAGAAUUGGAUAGCUGCCAUGCAUCGUGUCUAUGAAUGUUAAGAAUGAAACUAUCGGUAAGGUUAUAGAAUAAUCAUUCUACCAGCCUCAAUUAUGAUACAGGGUUUAUGAAAUAGAAUUUUCUUAUGUAUUGUAAUAGUAGAAGAUUCUUCGUUGGGAAGCAAAGCUUAUAGCUUUGAUGAGUAUCUAAAGGUUACAGAAGAGCAACUGAAAGCUUACGAUCAGCUCCAAACCAAUUUUCCAGCACAAAGCCAGAGUGGAUCCCAAGUACAACGGGAAGGUUGUUAAAAUCAAAUCUCUUAUGUCUUAUUUCAUAACUAUUUAGUUUUGAUCUUAACUACAACAAUUUUCAUUUUUUUCUAGGUGAACAUUGUAUGUGCUUAGAAAUUAAGUGUUUUGAAAAUUAGAGGUGAGCAAUCACACUUAGAAACUAAGUGUAGAACCAUAGAAAUGUUACCCCAUCGGUUCUAGCAACGCCUAGUUACCGCAGUUCAUAACAAAGAAAGAAAAGAGGCUCGUAAAUGCAGACCAUAAAAAAGUGAGAUAAUCAACAAUUAUAAAAAAAAACAUAUGCAAUAUGCAUUAAAAAAAGCUCAUAAAAAAUAUAGAGUCAAGUUAGUUAGGUCAAGUAGAACUUGUUGAGUUCCUCAACUUAAAUUUACUCUCUUAUCCAUUAGCUUAAGCUUCUAUAUGUAUUGGUGCUUUCUUGAUACACUCAAAUAUUUCUCUUUAUUACUUGUUUUCUCAACUGAUAUGUAUCAUAAGACCUUUUACAUGUCUUCAUCAACAUGAUACUUAAAAUACAAAGCUCAACCUCUUUUUGCCACUCCAUGGCAUGAGUAUCCUGGCCCAUUAGUCAUUUUUCUUGAAAACCUAAACCAGGUUAUGGAAGGCAUAUUUGAGAGUGUUUUUAGAAACUAGUUAACAAAAUUGAUUUUUACUAAUAAAUGUUUUGUUAAAAGUGAUUUUCAUGGCAUAUUAACGUUCGUUUGUGUCUAUACUUUUAAAAGUGAUUUUGUAACAUAAAAAGUAAUUUCCAAUGACUCGAAAACAUGUUUGGAACUUAAUAGAGGUAGGAAAAAUUCAAAUGCAAAAAUAGACAUGGUAUGUUGGCUUGUCUGAUUCUUACUUGUUUUCUUUUAUUUAUUUUUUUGAAAAAUUUGAUGAGAUAUGACAUUAGUUUGUUGUUGAUUGUUCUAUCAUUAUGGUUUUGAUCUUAACCAUCUUUUUCUCUCUCUCUUUGGUCUUUUGUGUUGCUUUUGAUUCUAUAUGUUCUUAAUUUUAAUGUCUUGGGUCUUUGUCGGUGGUGGAGAUUAGAGAUGCUUGUGUUCUGAAGAAGAUAAUGGAAGAAUUUUUUAUUUGUAUUAUGUGAGAUUGUUUUGAGUUUCAUUUUGCAUUUGUUGGAAUGGAAAGAAAAAUUACUCUGUUAUCCAUGCAUAGUUAAGUUUUAGUUAAGUCUACCUUGACAUUUCUCAUAACACGACCCGUCCUUGUCUUCUGAGCUAAGAGGAUCAGGCUUAGUCAAGUCUACCGUCACAUUUCAAUUUAAUGAUCUAUUAUGUUUGAUUUUUCGUGAAUUUGUGUUACUUAAUGAUCUAUUUUGUUUCUCGCUUAUCAAAUAAUUGGAAUUAAGAGGAGAUUUGUUUAACAUUUGAUUUGAAUGGUGAUGCGUUAAAGAUUCGAUUUUAUUGCUAAGUGUCUUCGUGAGAUUAUGUCUUUCGGUAGUGUUGAAAGAGCUCCUGUUUCUAAUUUUGGUUCAUUUCUUGUUAUGGGAGAUUGGUUUAAGAUAUGAAAUAAAUGUAGUUCAUUUCAGGGUAAUAAUGUUGCAAAGCUUUUUAAUAUUCCUUCACACAACCAUGGUUCCUUGUAUUCAGUCACCUUUAUUUUCUUGUGGCAGGCUACAUUAAGAUACAUCAAGGUUGGAGACCAAAGUUGAGAGGCUAAAGUCGGUAGUACAAGUUAAAGAUAUGAUAUGGAGAUUGCAACAGUUACACGAAUAGUACAAUCUCGAGACUUGCCUAAAUUCUAUGAUUUCUCUCUAUUUAACAUUGAACAAGGAAGUUCUUUUCCACACGAAGCCAAAGGUAAGGCUGCUUUUAAAGCUCAAAUUGACAAGCUACAAUAGGAAAAUGUUGAACUCCAGAGAAGGGUUAUUGGCAAUUAGGUUAUGGUAGUUGGAUGCUGUGAGAUAGAUACUAGUUUCUAUGUAAUAAUUUUAGUACUAAUGUUUUCUUUUUGUGUGCAAAGCAAGUAGGAACUCAACAAAUACGUGAGGUGAAGAAGAAAGAAAAGGAGUACAUCAAAUUGUGUGUGAGAUACCUUUUAGUUAUUUUUCGGUUCUAGGCUCAAGUUGGAUUCAGGUUAUAUAGGAGUUUUUGUAUGUCUAAACCAAGUCAAGUCUUAAUGGAGAAAAAGAAAGAAUCUAUAUCAGGAACGGAGAUAAUGAAUUUGCUACAAGUAUAUUUUAGUUAUUUAUCAAUAUUUUACCCAUAAUGGAUCAUUCCUUUCAUUUACUGGCUUUUGUAAUGUAUGAUAUGAACAGAAAGAGGGGUGACGACGUGGAACUUGGAAUGGCAAGAAAACUGAUAACGAUUUCUAUAAAAGGAUAGUAUGUUAAAAACCUCUAUUUUAAAUGUCUGUGCAUGAGCAUGAUUGUUAGUGGUUAAAUAAAAUAUUCUCAUAAUUGUCUCAUGGUUAGGUGGAUGCUUAUGAAGUUAAAAAUCAAGAAUUGACGUCAGAGAAUGCUUAUUUAAAGACAUUGACCAGUAAAUGCAGGUUUGCAACAAUUUUGUUAUUGUCUGUGUUUUAAGUUUACUAAAUUUUUAUCAAAUAAAUUUUGGAAGGGGUGGUGAGCAUGCAAUAAAACAAGUUCGUAGAAUGCAUCUAUUUCGUCUUAUUAAUUUUGUGAUAUUGAGGUUUUUUGCCAUUCUUUUAUUGAAUUAUUUUUGUGAAUUUUAAUUCUUGAAGUUCAUUGUUUUAUUGGUUUAUUUGAUAGACAAAAAACCCCCCUAAAUUUGUAUCAGAUAUGGUUUUAGUAAUUUGUUUUCUUAAGAUUCAUCCCUUACAUUUUGUUUAGUUAAUUAUUCCUUGUUUGGUAUAAUUAAUUUUUUUGAAUUAUUUGUUUGUUUUUUAUUUUUAUUUUUUUGUUUGAAAGAGCUUUUGUGAUCAAAUUUCUUUAACUUUGUUUGAUCGAUGAUGAAUGAAUGAGAAUAGAGGAAGGCCAUAGUAGUUCGCAAACUAAAUGAAAUGACAUGUUUAACACUACUCAUGCAUUGUUGAUACUACAAACUGAAGAACAUUAGGUUUUCGUAUAAUGGACUUGAGAUAUGCGGCAUCUUUUGGAAACAUUACAUUUUUUUCAGUCAGUUAUGCAAGCAUGACUGGUAUUUUUGAAUCUCAUUAGUCUAUUCGUAGACAUUUGACCCUUCUGGAUGUUUAUAAUUGUAGUUUGUGUUUACUCCAUUUAUUCAUUUGAUUUUCAGAAUAUUUGUACAAGUUAUAUUUUAUUUCUUCCUUAUUAAACAUAAUUGAUUUUCUUUUUUGAACUUGGCCUACACAAGCCUGAGAUACUUAAGGGCAUACAUGAUAUGUCACGUUUCUACUUUUAAGGACAUCAAUGAUUAAUCAACCAUAAUUAGGAAGAGCUUUAGAACUUAAAAUCCAGAACUCAAAUAAACAUAUAUCCUUCUACAAAGUUGUUGAAAAACGUCUUGUUAUUCAUACCUAAAAUUUUCAACUUCAGAUUCCAACGGAUGUACUCUACAGCCCUCUGGAAGUCCACAUUGUUCAGAACCACCUGUAUUCUGACCUUUCUUGCUUUCUACUCGCCGUUACUCAAAUUAAAUCAAAAACCCCAACUUAGAAAAUAGACUCAAAAUGAAAACUUUUAAGACUAAUUUCACUCAAAACACUCGAGUGGAUUGUGAGAAACUUAAUACUAAAUUUGGCCUAUUUAUAGAGUUCAUUGCAUGAGUACAAGUUGACACCUCAUCCUUGCUUAAAUUCACCUUAAACCUUCUUAGGGAACCUCCUACUUACUUUACACCUUAAAAUGCAUGCUAACAAGGUUUUACACCUCACUAAAACCUUAAACCGCUUGCCCUUAUCAUGCCACAUAGUUGUCCAAAACGCAUAGUUAACUUCCAAGGUCAUCUCACCUAGUUUCUCGCCCAAACUACAUAACCCAACUUAGAAAAGUUAUAACUUAAAAUCCAUAACUCUUUUGACAAAACUUUCUUCUACAAAGUUUCUCUAAAUGUGUUUUCUUCCCUAAAAAAUUUUUCCUGAAAUUUUGAGGGAAGAAAACGCCAAACGAUGCGUUCUGUAGCGUUCUAAGAGUGUAGCUUGCUCAGAUUCACUCGCAAACUGACCCUCUUGCCUUCUUUUGUCCAAACGUCAACUUUCUCAUAUCCAAAACGCCCAGCAACCUUCUUCAAUAAACUAGACUCAAAUUAUGAAUUUUCAAGUCUAGAUUGAGUGUAAUUUUCCGAGUUGUGAGAAACUCCUUUCUGAAGUUAGCUAAAACACCUAACCUCUUUAAUCCUUCUUUCUUGCCAACCUUAAACACUCAAAACCCUUUCUAACCUCUAAAACCAUUUUGCCAAGUCAACCCAAUACGCCUAAAAAGUACUAUUCUUUGAUAUUGAACCAAAAACUUUCCUUCUUUCAAACCUCUUAAACUCUUUGAAAAAGACUACACUACCCAAAGUUUGGGUCUUACAUAAAGAAAGAAGAAGAUAGACUCAAGAUAUAAAAAUAAGGAAGUUAAUCAUCUCGAAAGAAAAGAUAUAAGGAGAAUUUCAUUUUGAUGCCUCUUGAUCUUUAACUCAUCUUCGCUAUUCCUUUCUACCUCUUUCCCCUUUUGUGGAAAGACCUGGUUGGAUAGCCAUAGGUCCAAGGUUUCUAGUCUUUUUACUAGUUUGGAAAAGCCAACUAAUUCAGUUUAGUAGAGGUGUAAAACGGAGAUUGCUUGAGUUCGACGAAUGAAAGAGAGCUCGUACCCGCAACUUUUCCUUGAUUCUGCACUCUUGUGGGUAAUAGACUUUCCUUCCUUGUCGUAGGUUCCUUUUGUUGGGACUUUUUCCUUCCCUCCUUCUUACUUGUUCAUCAUACCAUAGUAAUAAGAAUUUCUUAGAAAUAAGCUACUUUCUCUCCUUCAACUACUGAUCAAUUAGAACCUCGCGUCUGCACGCACCUUGUUUUUAGGACUUUAGGAAAUGGAAGAAUGUCAAAUCGAAUAAUUUGACUUUAUGUACACUAAGACAAGUGAAUGGGUGUCUGUCUUUUAGCUUUUCUUGAUAUACAUGAAUAUAGGACAACCAUAGAGUAGAUGAGAUUAGGGGAAGAUUCUUGAGACCUCAACCUUUGCCGCGACUAUCAAUAUUCUUUGAACCUCUUUUCCUUGCCUUUGUGUCGUUAGUUUGGGAAUCAGGAAGAAGCUAAGCAAGGCAUGAAGAAAUUAUUAACCAUUCUAGAUGUCAUUCAGGUUGGAUGCCAAAUACGAGAAAACCUUUCUGAAGAGUAUGAAUGUGAAAUUCUCAUAAGCAAUGAGAUAGCCACUAGCUUAACCACCAUGAGCCACACCCCGUGGGUCGAUCGUACCCCUUCAGUUCUUUUUCAACCUCAAAAAAUUGAGUGAAGCAUCAAAAUGAAAUUCUUUCACUUCGUUUUCAUCUAUUUUCUAGAGAGCUUUACAAAUAAGGUCUUCAACGCAGAACCUAAUUACAAACUGGUACAAUUGUCUUUCUGUAAGAAGAUUUGAUGGAACUCGUAGCCAAUCGACUGAGAAUUCAAUCUUAUUGUUUGCAUAAAACAGAAAAUUACAUAAAACAGAAUCCAAUCGACUGGAAAUUGGAACCGGCCGAUGAGAACCGUCACGUUGAGAGGAACGGCUGGCGACGAGGUGCGGAGAACAGGCCCAACGAAGAGACUAUCUGAUGCCGAAUUUCAAUCACGAAAAGAGAAGGGACUCUGUUUUCGCUGCAAUGAGAAAUAUUCUCAUGACCACAGGUGUAAGAUGAAGGAGCAGAGGGAGUUACGUAUGUUGGUGGUGAUGGGGGAUAAUAAGGAAUAUGAAAUCGUUGAAGAAGAGAAGGCGGAGCAGAAAGAGUUAAAUGGGGCUGAAGUUCUCCAAGAAGAGCAGAUUGUGGUGGAGUUGUCGAUAAACUCCGUCGUGGGAUUAACUAAUCCAGGAACUAUGAAGGUGAAGGGAAAAUUUACUGGAAAGGAGAUCAUUGUAUUAGUAGAUUGUGGAGCUACACAUAACUUCAUUUCUGAAAGCUUUGGUGGAGGAACUGCAGAUAAGCACGAAAAGCACUACAAAUUAUGAAGUCAUAUUAGGCUCGGGAACGGCCAUAAAAGGGAAGGGAGUUUGUGAAGCCAUUGAGAUGAUAAUUGGAGAAUUGAGAGUUAUUGAUGAUUUCUUGCCACUGGAGCUAGGAAGCGUGGAUGCAAUGGUUAUACUCUCUUGGUAUAACGGGAGUAGACUGGAAAAACUUAAUUCUGACUUUUACCCACCACGGAGAGAAGAUUGUUAUAAAGGGAGACCCCAGUCUAACAAAGGCAAGAGUCAGCUUAAAGACCCUUAUGAAAUCUUGGGGAGACAAGGAUCAAGGGUUUUUGGUCGAAUGCAGAGCUUUAGAAAGAAGGGAAGACUUAGAAAGGGAUAACUCGUUGAUGAAACUUUGGCUGUAGAGGAGUCAGUAGCAGCAGUGUUGAAAAGCUUCGAAGAUUUCUUUGAGUGGCCCGAAACGUUGCCACCACGAAGAGUAAUAGAACACCAGAUUCACCUAAAGAAGGGAACCGAUCCAGUGAACGUACGACCCUAUAGGUAUGCAUAUCACCAGAAGGCAGAAAUGGAGAAACUGGUGGAAGAAAUGCUAGCAUCGGGAGUAAUACAGCCAAGCACAAGUCCUUAUUCCAGUCCAGUACUAUUGGUAAGAAAGAAAGAUGGAAGCUGGCGUUUUUGUGUGGAUUACAGGGCCUUGAAUAACGUUACCGUACCAGACAAGUUCCCAAUUCCAGUGAUUGAGGAGUUGUUUGAUGAGUUGAAUGGAGCCACUGUUUUUACGAAGAUUGAUCUAAAAUCAGGGUAUCAUCAAAUUAGGAUGAGUACUGAUGACAUUGAAAAGACAGCAUUCAGAACUCAUGAGGGUCAUUAUGAGUUUUUGGUAAUGCCGUUCGGGUUGUGACUAAUGCACCAUCCACUUUUCAAUCAUUGAUGAAUACUAUAUUCAAGCCCUACCUAAGAAGGUUCGUCUUAGUAUUCUUUGAUGAUAUUUUGAUCUACAGCAAGGGGUUGAAAGAUCAUCUGAGUCAUUUGAGGGCAAUAUUAGAAGUAUUGAGGAGGAAUGCACUCUAUGCAAACAGGAAGAAAUGUAACUUUGCUCAGUCUCGGGUGGACUACUUAGGACAUAUUAUUUUAGGGGAUGGAGUUGAGGUGGAUCCUGAAAAGAUCAGGGCAAUAAGGGAGUGGCCCGCUCCUGUUAACGUAAGGGAAGUAAAGGGGAUUCCUUGGUCUGACAGGGUAUUAUCGCAAGUUUGUCCAGAAUUAUGGGACAAUUGCAGCUCCUUUGACACAAUUACUGAAGAUAGGAGGAUUUAUAUGGACGAGGGAGGUUCAGGAAGCAUUCAAUAGGUUGAAACAAGCCAUGAUGACACUUCCCGUGUUAGCUCUACCUGAUUUCAAUAUGCCCUUUGAAAUAGAAACUGACGCUUCUGGAUUCGGGUUGGGGGCUGUGUUAAUCCAGAACCAACGACCAAUUGCGUAUUAUAGUCAUACACUGGCAGUGCGGGAUAGAGUCAAACCUGUAUAUGAGAGAGAGUUGAUGGCAGUAGUAAUGGCGGUGCAAAGGUGGCGUCCAUAUUUGUUGGGGAAGAGUUUUCUAGUCAAGACUGAUCAACGUUCUUUUGAAGUUUCUGCUGGAACAGAGAGCGAUACAGCCCCAAUAUCAGAAGUGGAUAUCCAAACUUCUGGGAUAUUCCUUUGAGGUGGUGUAUAAACCGGGGUUAGAGAAUAAAGCCGCGGAUGCACUGUCCAGAGUACCACCAACAAUACACUUGAAUCAGUUGACAGCCCCUAAACUGAUCGAUAUCGAAGUCAUCAAGGCAGAAGUGGCACAAGACGAGAAGUUGAAGAAUGUUAUGCAGAAAUUGAGUGAGACCGAAGAGUUGGAGGAGGGAAGAUAUUCAAUCAAACAGGGGCUGCUGAUGUACAAGGAUCGAAUAGAAUUAUCUAAAACAUCUAAGUUGAUUCCCACCAUCUUACACACUUAUCAUGAUUCGGUAUUUGGGGGUCACUCGGGGUUCUUAAGGACAUACAAAAGGAUGGCUGCGGAGUUACAUUGGGAAGGUAUGAAGCAGGAAGUGAAGAAGUAUUGCGAGGAGUGCAUGAUAUGUCAAAGAAAUAAGACUUUGGCGCUAUCACCAGCUGGACUGUUAACUCCGUUAGAGGUACCCAAUCGGGUAUGGGAGGAUAUUUCAAUGGAUUUUGUGGAGGGAUUACCUAAAGCAGCAAGGUAUGAAGUCUUAUUUGUAGUGGUUGAUUGGUUCAGUAAAUAUGGACAUUUCAUCCCUAUGAAACAUCCAUAUUCAGCAAAGACGGUAGCUGAAAUAUUUGUGAAGGAAGUCGUGCGGUUACAUGGAUAUCCCAAAUCCAUUGUUUCAGAUAGAGACAAGGUGUUUUUAAGUCACUUCUGGAGGGAAUUAUUUCGCGUAGCAGGAACCAAAUUGAACCACAGCACAGCAUAUCAUCCACAAACGGAUGGUCAAACAGAAGUUGUUAACCGUGGAGUGGAGACAUUCUUGCGUUGCUUUUGUGGAGAGAAGCCUAAGGAAUGGGUUAAAUGGGUACCGUGGGCAGAAUAUUGGUAUAACACUACAUAUCAGCAUGCACUCAGAGUCACACCAUUUCAGGUUAUGUACGGGCGUUUGCCACCUCCCUUGAUAUACUAUGGAGAGAGGGACACUACUAACUCUAUGUUAGAUGAACAGCUGAGAGAAAGAGAUGUGGUGUUAGGAGCCAUACGUGAACACUUGAGAGUUGCACAGGACAAGAUGAAGAAAUAUGCCGAUACCAAGAGAAGAGAGGUUCAUUACCAGGUUGGAGAUUUGGUUUUAUUGAAGAUAAGGCCAUACCGACAAGUGACUGUCAGAAGAAAACGAAAUGAAAAACUUUCUCCUAAGUUCUUUGGACCGUACAAGGUGAUAGCUAAAAUUGGUCCGGUGGCCUACAAGCUGGAAUUACCAGAGAAUUCAACCAUACACCCGAUAUUUCAUGUAUCACAGCUAAAAAAAGGUGUUGGGAGAGCACAAGGAAUAUAAGCAUGAUGUUCCUUGUUUAACAGAAAAUCAUGAAUGGAGGGAUACUCCCGAGAAGGUUUAUAGUUAUUCAAAAAACAAGGCGGGAGACUGGGACGUGUUAGUGCAAUGGAAGGGCCUUCCACAACAUGAGGCUACUUGGGAGCUAUAUGAGGAGUUGAAGCAGCGUUUUCCAGAUUUUCACCUUGAGGACAAGGUGAAUUUGGAGAAGGAGAGUAAUGUUAGACCUCCAAUAUUAUAUCACUACAGGAGGAAGGGGAAUAAGUUUGUUAAGGGGGGAGACACGUGUUAAUGAUAGGUUAGUUAGCCAUAUAAAUAAAAUAAGUUGUUAAGGGAGGGAGACACGUGUGAGAAAUUGGUUGGUUAGGGAUAGGUUAGUUAGCCAUAUAAAUAAGUUUGUUAAGGGAGGGAGGGAUGGAUAUUUUUUGCAGUAUUUGAAUCUUUCUGUUAUCUCUUGGAAGAGAGGGAAACAAAGACGUGUAAUUUUGUGUAAUUUUCUGUUUUAUGCAAACAAUAAGAUUGAAUUCUCAGUCGAUUGGCUACGAGUUCCAUCAGUAUCAUGUCCAUUUAUCACAAGAGAUCGACUUAGAAGUUCAAAUGCACUUAAAUAAUGAGAAGGAUCAUUAUGGGUAGUGCCAAGAGGCACAAUUCAAUAUGCGUGAGAAGAGCAUUUAAGAAAAAAGAUUUGAGGAGGAGAGAUCCGGAUACUCGUUGGAGACUCCAACCAGCAUGAUUAGUUGUCUUCCUGCUCUCAAAAGUCUACCUGGAAAUAAAAGGAAGUUUCAGAAACUUUAGGAUGAAAGGCAUAGGAAGGCAUAGGAGCAAGGGAGUCAAAACCUUGCAUUUCUGAAUUUGAGUUAAUACCUACGGUAUUUCGACUAUUAUUUCUCCUUUUAAGCCACUUAUCUAAUAACCUCACGAAUGAAAGAGUGAUCCAUCCUUAGCAAGAAGAGCUGAAACUGAGAAUGAAUAAAAGGAAAUAAGAAGGAAUGAGGCUUCCUGCUCCAAAAGAAGACGGUAAAGCUUUUGGUCUCGCCUUUUCUCCUCUGCCUUUCUUUUGCACUCCUUUCAAAGUCACUGAUAUACAUAAUCAAUUAUAUUUCCCUUUCAUGGGAUAGAUGAUGGAAUUUCCGCAAAUUCGAUUAGGAUGAAGAAGCCCACGUAGCAGUUGUGAGUUUUUCACGGACUGACUCGUACAUUAUCGUUCUCAGCACCUCAAUAGAGGGUUCCACUUAUUAUGGAAAAAGUUCAAGACCUAGGCUUGAUCUUUGUAAAUGAGAAUAUAUAGAAAGAUAAAAAUCUAAGAUAGAAGAGUUGGGCACAAAAAAAUAUAUAGAAGAUUUUCGCUUGAUUUUAGGCAAUAUCCCAAAAAUACCCUAUCUUAUGGAGCCUUUGUUUUUGUUCAAUGGAUAAACAAGUCUAGAGGAUGAGUAGGAGGUACGAAGAAUAUUGCAAAGAUUUUUGGUUCAUUUUGCAAAGGAAGAAUAUUGACAAAGAUCAUUGAUAAGAAACUUUCUAGAAUUCUUUUCUCAUAUGGACCUCGUCCAGAGGACUUGUUUAUCCAUUAAAAGAGUCAUGUUCCUUUAAAAAGAAGUUUCUGAUGUAGGCUUUUUAUUUGACGUUAGGAGUUAUUCCAAUAAUAUCCAUCCAGAUUUCACUAAAGUUGCAUAUGUUAGGAGUAUUAAAAUUGGCUAUCCAUUAGGGAAUUUGAGAGUUAUUUCACUAAAGUCCUAAUCCUUUAUAAAACAAUUUUUCACGACAAAAAAAAAGUGAAAGAUAAAAAAAAAAAAAUCAGAACUAUGUUUGUAUUUACAAAAUAUACAAGUUAUUUGGUUAUACAUUACAAUUUCUUUAAUUAUUUUUGGAUUCAAUAUUUUUGGAGUUUGAUUCAGUAAAAAGUUUGGACAGUGUAUAAAAUUUCGUAAAAGAAACUUUUUUUUAUAUUUAUUAUUAAUUAUUAAUAAUAUUUUAAAGAAACUAAAUACACUAUAAGAAAUAAUAUUUAUACAAACUCAGAACCACAUAUAUGCAUAAUGCAUUUAUUAACAACCCUCAGAGCAAUUUUAUUAGUCAUUAAAAAAAAAAAAAACAAUGAAGGCAUUCUUGUUGUAUUAUAUAAUACAAUAAUACUCAUACUCAAAAGUCAAAACAUUCAUGUGCUUGACUUCACAAUUGACAAUUGCCUUCCUAUUAUUUUCCUACAUGCCUUAAGGUCUUUCUCUAAAAUUACAAACUACUGACAUAUUACACCAGAACAACUUAAGCCAACAAUGAAGGUUAGAUUAAUAGAUAUUGUAAUGGAAGUCACUAAGUAGUAAUAACAUGUUACAACACAAAGGUAAAGCCAAAGAUUAAUGUUAGUGUUACAGGAAAAUUCAGUUAGCUCAACCUCUAUAUGGAAAAGCCUAAGAAAGCUUAAAAAGCUUAAAGGUCGAGCUAUAGUCAGAGAACUCAGAAAGCUACAGAGGAUAGCAGAAGAAUGAUGGACCCGCCACUGCACAACUAAAAAAUUUGGAAAGAAUUUUGUAACAACCUGUAUUUUUUAAAUAUACCUAUAUAACAAAAACAUGGAAAACUUAAGAAAUAUGAACUUUUACAACUUACACAAUUCAACGGAAGCAAUUUAUUACAAACAAUUGUUAUGUCAAACUAUUCACUACCCUUUAUUGAACCUUCUACCUCAAAAGGGAGAAUACAAGUCAAUUAACGCUAACCUAAACACAAUUUAACUAACAAAAUUUCUCUGAUGCUCUACCAAGAUGUCACCAAGCUCUUAAGAAAAAACAAUUCAACUGCCAGAGUCAUGUCUGAUCAUGAAGGCUUUAAUACUGUUUUCACUCAUGAAAUGCACUGUUAUGAGACAGCAUAGUAUUCCUCAAGACCGAUGAAUGAAAAAGGACAACAAAAUCUUUCAUUUAAACUUCUUUAUUGGCCAAUGCAAUAUUGCUACUUUUACCUCUGGAAGAAGCUAAUAUGACAUCUGGUCUAGGUUUCCUUAUAACUUUGUUCAUAAGGUGAAGGUACCGAUGCCUCAUCCCCAUCAAAGGGUGCUUCUCUACCAAAAAAAUCCUUCUUAUAAGCCUCCCGAAGAACUACAGUUUGUGUUCUAAUCUUGUUUGAGACAUAAAAUAUACCUGGGUGAUGAACUAUGGCUUUCUUAAACCUAUAACCAAACCCCAAAUAGUCUCCCAAGCAGAAGAUGUUCUCCUUUUCGGUUUUCUUCGAGAUCGUAAGAUAAAGCAACUCAUGGAGAACAGCCACAACCCAUUUCUCAGCUUGGUCCGUAUUUGGUGCUAGAUGGAAUGCAUUUUCAUAGGGCGAAAUGUAAGGCAAAUCCUGCCACUCCUCCACCCAAUUCAUCACUUUCUUUUGCAAAUCAAAACCCCUCGGGAAACUCAUUGGAAAUGGAAUAUGAUUUAUUUUCCUUCUCCCAAAAUUUCCUUCCAGAGAUUCCCUUUUCUUCAAUUCAGAGACUGCAAGGUCUUUCCUCCAAGAAAGUAGCUCUAAUGCAAGAGUUUGUUCACCUGUUAAACAGUCUUUCACACUACAAACUUGAAAAUAUUCAGGAUAACCAGCAAGAAGGGUUGGAAUGAACCUAUAGGGUAAACCCAAAUCCCAUUGCAACCUCUCAAUAACAUAUAGGGGAAAUUUUCCAACCCCUAUGAGCAUCAAUAGUUUUGCUAACCUCUUCACAACAUCAUCUCUAUGCAGUCGAGAGUUAUGAAUGGUUGAUUCUUCCUUGUGGAGAAGUAAAGCUUGUGAGGUGAUUUUGACAUGAGGAUGGAGACCAAGACUAGGCUGGAAUUGGAUGAAAACAUAAGGGUAUAACUCGAAGAACUUGGAGAUGGUGGUAGUGGGAACUUUGAGGUUCUGAUUAAGCAAAAAGACAAGAAGAAAGUGGAACAGAUGUUAAAGGACUCGAAAUUAUUAUAUUCUUAAGGGAAAUUACUUGUUUGAGGUUUUUCUCUCUUUGAACUGCAAAAUCAAGGUAUGGAUCUCUAACCCAUUUGACCUUUGCAUCAAUGAAAGCACAAAUCUGGGUGAAACGAUGAGGGAUUAUAGUAAUUUGUAGAAUCAUAAGCAAGAAAGGUUAGAAAACAUUGUCUAGAUUGGGAAAUAGAAAUGGCUGACAAUGGGAAUCGAGAAGGCUAAACUGACCAAAUUAGACAAGAGUUUGUAAAGAUCAAAUAAUCAAAGGAAACGAAAAUUCAACUUAGACUCUGCUUGGUGGCUGCUUCAGAAUAGAGUCACCCUAACUACCCUUUAAAACUAUCACCUGAUUUUCCAUCUGAAAACACUUUGAAAUCAAAGAUUAGUACAAAAAUACUCAAUAAGCAAUUCUCAUAUCAAGCUUUGAAAUUCACAGAACUUUCUGUCAAAAUUUUUCUAGAAAGAAUACUUUCAAAAUCAAAAUAUUGCAAGCAAAUAAGUUUUAAAACCUAAAUGCUUCAAGCUGAAACUCCUAUAAUGAAUGGUAUUUUCAUACUUUUUAUAACACUAAUAUUUCAAUACUUUCAAAUGAAAAUUCUUCAAUCGGUAAAAAGAACUUUCGAUCAACAAAUACAUCCAUACAAACAAAACUUUCAAUCAUUCAGUUCAAAUACAAAGUAGGAAAAAUGCAUAGUUCAUGUAGCCCAGCAGGUAUGGCUACCCCUUGGUAAGAUCAACAGUUCAUUCAAUCCGAGAUGUCAAUUAACAAUCGACCACAUAUGAAUCGCCAUUUAAAGCAUGCAAACAAUUUUGAAACUAAUUACCUCGAUCGACAAUCAUCCUUGAAAAUUCACUUCCUUGGACAAAGAUUAACACCUAUUGAACUUCCACGAGUGACACUUAUCCCUAAGCCAAAAACGCCGCCGCAGCCGGAAACACACACCCAGUCAUUGAAAACGUGAUCUAGAACUUGUUGUUCGUUCACGCUGGAGUCUCGAACGAAGAAGAAACAAUGCUCCUGAAGCCGUACAGAGUGAACGUAGACCGUCGUCGACUACAGAGCUGGGCGUUCGGUGGGUGUGGCCGCUGGAGUGUCGCCGGAGAAGAGGGUCGGCGGCUAUUUGAUAGAGAAAGGAAGACGACUGAUGAGGCUAGUGUCACGUGGUUAAAGUCUGAAGCUAACCAUACGUGCGGCACUUGGCUAACUACAAUGCCCACGUAGCCAAGUAAGCCUUUUCGGGAAGGGGUAGUGCGCCAAGCACUACACCAACGUGUUGCAGCGAAAUUAAUUGGGUUGGUUGCAAGACACGAGAGAGGUUGGAAGGAUAAGGGAGUUUGGAUGGAUACGUCUUGGGAAUGAUACACUGCAUUCCAAGAAUAGAUUAAUACACAUUUGGGUACAAAUAUGUUGUCUCUUGCCAUGGGGGCCAUGGGCAAGGAGACUUGGUAUGGCAAGGUGACCUUGCUUGGCUAACACAUGCAAAGUUGCAAGGUUGCAAGGCUUGGUACAAAUGAGGCCCUCCCUAAGUAUUUAUAGACCUUCCCCACCGACCUUGGGCCUUAGAAGGUCGGCCAAGGGAGUUUCUAGAUGAUACAAGAUCAUUUAGUACAUUACAAGGAAGCCUAGAACAUUCUAGAGAGGAUUAGACCUUUUAUGACACUUCUUAACCGUCAUAAUAGCCUUCUAAAGUGUUCCAGCACGUUUCAGAAUCAUCCAGCACAUUCUGAGGCCUUCUCGGGAGCUUCUCGCGCAUUCCAGCACGUUCCAGCACUGUCUAGGGCGUUCUAGAGGCUUCUGAGGCUGUCUAGGUCGAGCAUGGGCGAGGCAGCACGCACAUGGGCGUGUCUAGGUCCUUCUUGAAGCUUCUGGGAGGUUCUCGGAGCAUCUGGAACUGGGGCAGACACGGGGCGAGCGCACUAGGGGGCCGCGCGCGCCUGUCGCUGGUGUAGGCUGCGCGCAAUGUUAGCAUCGGCGAGCGUGCGCGGACGUCGUGCGCGCCAUACCUGGGCGAGCAUGGGCGGCCGACUGGAGCCCGCGCCGCGGUUGCUUGGCUUGCCGCCUGGCCAUACGCAUGGGCCCGUGCGCAUGGGCCCGAUGGUGGGUGCUGGUGUCGGGUGUCACGGACAUAUUUUUCCAAAGUGUGUUUACCUUUGGUUAUAUGCUCCGAUUAUCCCCAGUUUAUCUCAUCUUUAGUUUCCAUGACUAGUUUAGGUGUUUGCUUUUCAUUCUAGAUCAUAAAUCUUGGGUGUGACGUUUCGCAUUUUCAUAUGCAAGCCUGCCAGAGCUGAAAAUGUUCAAAAUGUAUUAUAGGGGAGACAUACCAGUUGAAUCCCCGCUCGAGCAUUAGUUGUACUCUUUGGAAGCAACCAUUUUUCCUUGCAAUUGACGGUCUUUAAUGCUUAUCGUAACGUCUAUUUCAAUUUAUUUCUUUCUUUCCCGCGUUUUAUAAAUAAAAUUUCCCUAAAACGCAAAGGAAGGUUACGACAUACGUCGACGUUACCUACAACUCUUGGAUUUUUAUCGACUGGCUUGUUCGUUGAGUUAGAACAAGUGUCGCACAAUCGUCCUUCUCGAGGUUGAAACGCUACGAUUGUGACAAGUGGUAUCAGAGCCAAAUUGGCUGACAGUUUAGACAGAGAGAUGUUGACGGUAAAACGAACGGGCAAGACCCAUGAAGAACGGUUGGUGGUGAUCGAAGAGCAAAUGCUCCACCUGAAGGAAGUUUCUGAUUCCAUCCGAUUUAUGGAAGAACGACUUGAGAAAGUUGCCAAGAGAGUCGAUGUUGUUGAUGCGGUGUCUGGUCGCCUGGACGGAUUACCCAUACAUGAUUUGUUGGCUAGAGUUGACACGUUAGAGUCACAAAUCAGGAAAAUUGAAAAUGUUCCCUACGAGCGUGGGAACAGUUCAUCGGGCUCUGUUGCCCGAAUGGAGGAGCGAGUUAUAGAGCUAGAUAACUCUCAGAAGGAUAUAAUGGAGAUGAUAAAUGGUAUGACAGAGGACUUUCGAGCCACCCUGGAUGUCGUUAGAAAUGAAAUCGUAGAGGUGAACACGAAGGUGAACCUUACGAUGCGAGCGUUGGCCAAUCAAGCUCCGGCUGGAGGAGCGAUUACAAUUGGCAAGAUAAAGAUCCCAGAACCCAAGCCCUUCUGUGGGCCAAGGGAUGCAAAGGCAUUGGAAAACUUUAUCUUCGAUAUUGAGCGGUAUUUUAAAGCCACAAACACCGUGGCGGAGGAAGCCAAAGUGACAUUGGCGACCAUGCAUCUAUCUGAGGAUGCAAAGUUAUGGUGGAGGUCCCGAUAUAUUGACAUUCAAGAAGGGCGUUGCGUAAUAGACACUUGGGACAGUUUGAAGAGAGAACUUCGCUCACAGUUUUUCCCCGAGAAUGUCGACAUUCUGGCUCGAUGGAAACUAUGGGAAUUAAAGCACACUGGAACCAUUCGGAAAUAUGUGAAGCAAUUUGCGGGGCUGAUGUUAGACAUAUCUGAUAUGACCGAGAAGGACAAAAUCUUCAGUUUUGUUGAAGGGUUAAAAUCAUGGGCAAGGACUGAGUUAUACGAACAGAGAGUUCAAGACCUUGUGUCAGCCUAUGCAACAGCUGAGCGUUUGUUUGAUCUGUCUAGUGACGCUCAAGAGACGAGACGUCAAUAAAGCUCUUCACCUGGGAGAGAUCAAAACAGCCGACCAAAUUCUUUCGAAGCUGUCAGUGGAAGUAGAAGUCCCGGUAGAGACCGCAAGCCUUUCCAGUCAAAUACGGGGAACAUGGGGCAAAGGCCCAAUAGUCAGAGGACAUCUCACACUCCUAUCAGUUGCUACAUUUGUAACGGACUACAUCGGGCAAGGGAAUGCCUACAUAAAGCUGUCUUCUAUGCCUUUCGGGCCUCUUUAGCUGCAGACUCAGAUGACACGUCGAGUCAACCAGAGAAGGAAGUUGGGCAAGUAGAAGGAGUUCAGAAUGUUAGAGUGGGAGCCAUAAGACUCUUGUCGUCCCUUCAGAAGAAACCGAGAGAGACAAGUGGUCGUACUAAAAGGGGCCUAAUAUAUGUUGACACUUGGAUCAACCGAAAGCAUGCAAAGGCACUAUGGUUGACUCCAGUGCCACUCAUAAUUUUAUAACAGUGGUCGAAGCCAGACGACUAAACCUUCAUUGGAAGAAGGGUACGGGAAAAAUGAAGGUCGUAAAUUCUAGAGCUCUACCUGUCGUUGGGAUAGUGAAACGGACAGCGAUACAGUUGGAAGGAUUGAGCGGUUUCGUUGAUUUUGUGGUUGUAGGCAUGGAUGACUUUGACGUAGUCCUCGAAAUGGAAUUCCUUCUCGAACAUCAAGUGAUCAUAAUGCCUGCAGCCAAAUGUCUGAUGAUCACGGGGUCUACCCCCACCGUUGUGCAGACAGACCUUCGGCAACCCAAAGGACUGAGAAUGAUCUCGGCCAUGCAACUGAGAGAGGGUCGUGUUCAGAAAGACACAAGGUGUGUCAUGAAGAGAUGUGGUGAUGGGAAACGUGAUAGUUUGCCCAUAUUGGAAUCGCCUACGAAGAGUGAUUGUCGUAUGGCGCAGUCAGAGUCGUCUAAACUCCGAAGACAGUCAAGGAGAUUGUCGGGUGCAGGAUUCACUAGACCUGCAAAAGCUCCGUAUCAAGCACAAGACUGCUUAUGGAAGGAAGAGAAGGGACGGUUGAGUGUCGACAGCCGUGUCCUGAAGCAAGCCCCGAGGAGAGGGACAAUUCUUGGGUCCGUGAGUGUGACCCAACCUAUUAAAGCUUACGUUGAGGUGCGUAGUCAUGCGUUGAGUGGUGCCUAACUGUAGAAUAGACACCCUAUCGCAUUUGAGGGUCAGAAGAAGAGUGCCACAGAGGGCAAUUAUACGGUGUUUGAAGAAGAAACGUUGGCCAUAGCAACCAGUCUAAAGGAUGGGAGACAAUGUUCCCAUAGAUCAACUUUUGUUAGAGAGAUGAACAACGACGUUGCCAGCCAGUUCGGUACUCGGCCGAAUAUGAGUUCGAAUCAAGUAAGGAGACGAAGAGUCGUGCUCAAACUUGAUUUUGGGUCAGAACGUAAGAGAAGCAAUCAUGGGACUCCACAUGUGUCGGCUCGUACACAGGCCUGUCUGUUGGAAUUUUUUGUCCUAAAACUCGUAGUUUGUAAAUCAUAUUCUGUUCAAUAAAGUUGUUUAUUGAGAAAUUAAAUAUUAUAAUCUUAAAUCCAAUAAAUCAAGUUCCAAGGCUAUUUUUGAAUAAACUUGAACUUUAUGUGUAAACAUAAACGUGGAUCAAGUUCGAGUAUAUAGCCUAAAUAGUCUAUAGUAUAUGAAAUAAAGGUUGGGCGCCUUAUUUAGAGAAACUAUGGAUGCGGCCCACUUUGUAGUACAAACGAGGUGAUCCUAAUCGUUCAUGUAGAGACAUGAAAGUGGGGGCAUCCUAUGUAAAAUGUUUACAUAAGACUGAACCAUGAAUUAGUCUUUUUUACGUUAUAACACCGUUUACUGUUUAAAACUGACUAUCUCAAUUAUUGAUGACCUAGGUAACUUAGUCUUAAUCCUGAGUUAACUAUGAACUCCUGUUCACACGAGAUUAUCCUUAGAUCUGCAUAGGUGAGGGCAGCUCAUCAGCGUUGGCCCAAUAAGCCUCCCAUUUCAGAGGUAAGAUCGGGUGGAUAGCUGGGAACAUAGGGUACAAGAUGGAAUUCACUCCUACCCGCUUUAGGGUUAGUAGAUAGGUUGUUCUCUUAAGCACUGAAUCCAAGUCUUGAACAAGGGGCCCCACCCUCUCAUUGGCCCGAGAGGGAUUAAGUUUAUAGGAUUGAACCUUAAACCAAUUGUUCAAUAGUGGAUUAGUGGGACUUAAGGAGCAAGAUGUAAUCUUGGGGGUAAAACGGUAUUUUGACCCAGCCAAGGUUACGAGCAACCUGUGAAGGAUUAACUUACUGAUUAUGGUUUUAUCAAAUGGACACAAAUAUAUCUAUAGUGAGGGGAGUGCAACUACGGGACUUUAGUGGAAUGACCCGUUAGUUAACGAAUGUUGAUUAACUCGGUUUAAAAGAGUUUAGCUAGUUAAUCUUGAAUCGUUGGAGCCCAUGAUCUAUAGGUCCAUUAGGUUCCUCUGCUAGCUCAUAUGGAUUAAACUUAGAACAGUGUGAUGAAAUAAGUCGAAUUGUUCGAAUUGGGAGAAGAAAGGGAAACCGACAAAUAUAGUGAUAUAGUCGUCGGUCUUCUAAUUAGAAAUAGAGCUUUAUGUUUUACAUACUAUAAGUAUGAAUGCGGAUUCAUACUAAGAAGCUCGGAAUUGAUAGAAUUGGUCAAAAAUAGUAAAAAGUCAAAAUGUUGACUUUUGACUUUGAAAAGUCAAACUUUGACCGGCCUUAUAUUCAAAUGUGAUUUGAAUUUUGGAAAAAUGAAUGCGGAUUCAUGCUCGGGAGGUUGGAAUUAGUCAAGACGGACAAAAUGGUAAAAAGUCAAAAUAUUGACUUUUGACUAAGAAAAGUCAAAGUUUGACUUUUGACUAGAAAUAUCUAAUGACCAUUUUACCCUUGGACUAAGUUAGUGGGAAAAUCCAACAUUUUGUUGGAUAAUCCCACUAACUCUUAGUGGGAUAUGUGGCUAUAUGAGAUAUAGACACCUAGCCCACUAAGUUCCACUAAUUGUUAGUGGAACAUUAGGUGUUGAGAUUUGGCAAAUGAAUUGCAUGCAUUUUUUCAUGUAAUUAGGUUAUAAAUAGAGGUGUUUUCAAAUGUUGAAAAAACUUUUGCCUCUUUUAUCAUUUUCAUCAUCUCAACAAAAGAAAAAAGAAAGCUUCCAAUCUCAUUUUAUCUCCAUUACUUUCUACACCAAAAUUGGGUCCCACAACCCGGUUCUUUGUCUAGAGGAUAGCAGUUGAGUACUAGUGGUGGUCUCGGUUAGAAUUGGUAAGAAGAUAUCAAACCUUUUGAAAGCUUCAAAGGUAAUAUUUCUUAAAACCCUAAUUUGAUUAGUUUAUGGUUACAUGUUAAUUGUGGCAAUUAGGGUAGAAAUUCGAUUCUUUUUCCGCUGUGCAUGACUUAGUUCUAUCAUGUGGUAUCAGAGCAUGCUUCAUUUUUACCCAAUUGCAUGUGGUGGGUUCAUAUUUAUUAGAUAAAUUUUGGUUUGAACUAAAAUGGAUAUAUUAUGAUUUUGGCUCUAGAUUAAGUGUUUUUGUUCUAAUUAUUGUAAUUAGCCUUGUUAAUGGCUUAUUUUUAUUGUUGCAAAGUGUUUGUAAUUUUUAAAAAAAUAAAAAAAGUCAUUAGAGUUGAAGUUAGGCUGUAACUGGUUCAACCGGGUGAGAGAAUUGAAAAAAAAUGAAGAAAAGAAGGUCACAGACCCGAAAACCCGCCUUGACCCGCUUCGCGACCCGCACGCGCGCCGCGCCCGCGCGCCCUCCUGCGCCCGCGCGCCUGUGCCGCCUGCGUCCCCCGCGUCCUGCCUUCGCCCGACCCGUGUGCGCCUGGGCCGGUUCAAGCGGUUUCGGUUGGUUUUUCAGCCGGUUCGAAGUUUUUGGGAGUGGUUCUGUACUACACCAAAGUAAUUAUGUAAUAAUUUAGUACUUAGCUUAAUUUAGGAGCCAAAAAUCAGUCCAUUUUAGGGUGUUUUUUUUUAUUUAUGCAUGUGAUGUAUGAUUAAAUUACUUUAAAUUUGUAUGUGCAUUUUGAAUGUCAUAUAGAUUUAAAAUCCCACCAUAGGUUAACAUGUUCAUGCAUUAAAAUGUAUGAUAUAAAGGUUAUAUUGUAUUGUAUGCAUGUUAAUUGAUUAAUAUGGAAAUUAAAAUCCCACCAUAGGUGUUUGCUUUUCAUUCUAGGUCAUAAAGCUUGGGUGUGACGUUUCGGCAUUUUCAUAUGCAAGCCUGCCAGAGCUGAAAAUGUUCAAAAUGUAUUAUAGGGGAGGCAUACCAGUUGAAUCCCCGCUCGAGCAUUAGUUGUACUCUUUGCAAGCAACCCUUUUCGUGGCACGCGUGCGGGGCCUGUGAGCUGUCCUCGAGAGGUGCCUGCCAAUGUCGUGGGCAUAUGUCCUGGUCACCCUUGGGCUGUCUCGGGACCACGUUGGGCUACUCCUGGGCCAUGCUAAAGGAGUCGUGGCACGUAUUGGCGCAAUUUUGCGGGUGAUUUUUGGGGUCAAAGCUUCACAUGUGACAUCAGGCUUACUUCUUUUCAUUUCUUUCUUUUUUCUUCUUCUUUCUUUUUCCCGUUUUAAAUUUUAUCUCUAAACCAAACUCCAACUAACUCUAAUUUAUGUUUAGGAACUUGUAAUUUUGGAGUACAAUAUAAGUAUAAUUGUUUGUGUUAUAUUGUUUUUUUUUAUUAUUACUAUUAAAAAUAGCCAAAUUAAUUAAAAUAUUUAUAAGGUAUUUUAAAAUUUGAUAUUCGAUAGAUCGAUCAAUGUCACUAAACAUAUAAGGGCUUAUCAAUAUCUAUUAUUAAUAUAAUCUAGUAAAUAUUUUGUCGAAUUUAUUAUUUGUGACAGUUUUUUUCUAUUCUUUUUUACAUAUAUUCAAUAUAUAAAAUAUCAAUUUUUUGAAAAUUUCAUAUAGGAUUAUUAACAAGUUUAACAAAUAGAUAAAAUGAUUUUCAACAUUAUUCUAAUACUAUGCUUUAAAUUAUGUAAGAGAUAAAUCUCUAUAAAUCAUGGAUGAAUUAUUUUAGAAUGGAAAACAAUACAAAAAUGUGAGUGUUGAGCAAGAAAUUUUGACCAAUUAAAUUACGUCACAUCAUCACAGUAAAUAAUGAUGAUUAUACUUUUGUUUGAGUUUGGAUAAUUAAGUUACUCAACCCAACCCAAUUCAGAUCCAACAAAACAAAUGGGCUCAAGCCCAAGUCCAAGAAUCAAAUGGGCCCAAGUCCAAACUCAUCUCGCAAAUGGGCUCAAAUCCAAGCCCAACAAGCAAAUGGGCUCAAGUUCAAGCCCAGUAAGCAAAUGACCCCAAUUCACCUAAAGCCCAUGAAAUGUCUAUAAAUAGAGACCACUGUCAUUCAUUUUAAAAGGGGUCUUUGGUUGAAAGAAGAAUUGAAGCUCUGAAGAAUUGAAGAUUCAAACUUCUACAAGCUCUCAAGACGUGCAAGUUUGUAUCAACUUCGAGAUCAACAACUUCUGAAAGAUUGAAGACUUGGAAAAUUAAACUUUUCUUGGAUUCCAGAAGAUCGAAGUUCAAAUCAACGUGCAACUACAACAUCCUGAAGAUCGAAAAUAAAAAGUUCUAAGUUUUAACUUGUAUUCGAGAAAAAACAUCAAAAGAGUAAAUACUAGAGGUUGUAUUCACAAUAUUCUUUAAUAUAUAAAGUUCAACUCCACGAAAUACAUUUCUUCAAAAUCUCGUGUGAACAGUUUGACACGUCCAGUGAGACAAUCUCUACCUUUCAUCUCUUUCUCUUUUGAAGAACAUCUAAAGAAAUCAUGUCGAUUGACGAACAAAUGACAUCGGCAAGCAGCCAAAUACUCACAGCCGCUCAAGGGAGACUCAAUCAUCUGAGGAAAUGCCAUCCUUUGAGGCCGCAAAGAACAUUUGGGAGCAACUGUCCAAGCCACCAAAAGGUGGAAUUAUAGUCGAAGAAAAUCCUGUGAUUGACGAACAAAUUUCCUCCUGUGAACGCUCGAAUGAGAAGAUGCCUCAUCCAAAUAUCAUGUCGAUUAUGGUGACUGACGUGGAUACAAGUGAAGACAUAAUGACUGAGCUUAAAAAGAAGAUCAACAGGCUCAUGAAGGUCGUUGAAGAAAAGGAUAAUGAGAUUGCAUCUCUCAAGAAUCACAUCGAACGUCAUGAUGCUGGAAUCAAGUCAUACACAUACUAUCAAAAAUACUGACAAAAGGAAGACAAUUAUGCAAGAAAGUCAACCACAAAAUUCAACCUCAAUUGCAUCAAUAUCUAUUCAGCAAUUGCAGGAGAUGAUUGCAAACUCCAUCAAAACUCAAUAUGAUGGACUUGCUCAAACUCUCUCUCUAUAUUCCAAACCAUAUACGAAGAGGAUCGACAAUCUCAUAAUGCCGAAUGGAUACCAACCACCCAAGUUCCAACAGUUUGAUGGAAAGGGUAACCCAAGACAACACGUUGCUCACUUCAUUGAAACAUGUGAAACUCCUAGUACGAGAGGAGAUUUGUUGAUAAAGCAGUUCGUUCGAACUCUGAAAGGAAACGCCUUCAAAUGGUACAUCGACCUGGAACAUGAAUCCAUUGAUAGUUGGGAGUAACUUGAGGGGGACUUUCUCAAUCGCUUUUACAGCACCCAGCGUAUCGUCAGCAUGAUGGAGUUGACAAAUAGCAAAUAGCGAAAGAGGGAGCCAGUCAUCAACUACAUAAACCGAUGGAGAGCUCUAAGCCUGGAUUGCAAAGACAAGCUCAUAGAAAUGUCUGUAGUCGAGAUGUGCACCCAAGGCAUGCAUUGGGAACUUCUCUAUAUUUUGCAGGGGAUAAAACCACGCACGUUUGAAGAGUUGGCGACUCGUGCCCAUGAUAUGGAACUAAGUAUCACUCGUAGAGGAGCAAAAGAUUUUUUGGUUCAAAAAAUGAGGAGUGACAAGAAUUAAAUUGAUGACACUAAAAAGAUUACAGAUAGUGUCAUAAAUGAGUCUAUGGUUGUUCAUGCAACCCCUUUGAAAUCUUUUUCUAAAAGAAAAGAAACAAAAUUUGAAGGAAAGCAUGAUAGAGAGGAAAAGCGACGCCCUUAAAGAAAGACAAGAAAAUUUUUAUCCAUUUCCUGACUCUGAUGUUGCAGACAUGUUAGAGCAGCUGUUAGAGAAGCAACUUAUUCAACUGCCAGAAUGCAAACGACCGAAACAAGCAGAGAAAGUAGAUGAUCCUAACUACUGCAAGUACCAUCGGGUCAUUAGUCAUCCUGUUGGAAAGUGUUUCGUGUUGAAGGAGCUGAUUAUAAAGUUGGCUCGUGAAAAGAAGAUCGAGUUAGAUAUGGAUGAAGUAGCUCAGACAAAUCAUGUUGCAAUUGAGAUGACUUCAAGUGUUCCGCCAUCAACACACCUUUAUGAUUAAUGGAAAAACUUGGUCCAGUUUGGGACUUUUGAACCUGUACAUGUUCGAUUCCAACAAAGGAUCGUGACAAAGAAAUCUCAAAACAAAGAAAAGCCUAUUGAAGAUGAUUGCGAAGGAUGGAUAGUCAUGACUCGUAAAAAGGGGAGACAAUCAAUUUUCGUACAAACGAAGUCGCACUUCCAUCAGAAGCAUGGAAAAGGAAGCAACUCUCGUAAAAAUGAGAAAAGAAAUAAGAUGUGGAAGUCUAAGCCUAUCAAAGGAAAAGAUGAGGACUUCAUCCGACAUCGACGGUCGAUAACUUUGAAAGAAUUUCUCCCAAGAAGCUUCCUUGAUGAUCAUCCAAAGAAAGUAUUAGAAGUCCUUGCAUGUCAUGUUGUCAGUAUAACAGAAGUCGACAACAAUUAUGCAUCUUCUGAAGAAAUCGACAAUUCAAAUGAAAUUAAGCAAAGGACUUUUGUCUUUGAUCGUAUCAAGCCUUCAAUUACUCAAUCUUCAAUUUUUCAAAGAUUGAGUAUGACCAUGAAAGAAGAAGAAAACCAAUGUUUAACAUCUACUUCCACUCAAACUUUAGCUUUCAAAAGGCUAAGUAUCUCCACAUCAAAGAAAUAUCAACCUUCAACAUCUGUUUUUGAUAGACUAAAAUGACAAGUGAUCAACAUGAAAAAGAGAUGAAAACUUUGAAGGUAAAAUCACUUCAUGAAGAAAAUAAUGGCGAGAAGAUACGCAGUUGUGUCUCAUCACGCAUGAAGAGGAAGUUAUUUGUUGACAUAAACACAGAAGGUCCCUUGAUCGUGAAGCCAAAAAUUAUUAUAUUCACCAAUUCUACAAAUGAAGAAGGUGAACAAAUUUUUUACGAAAAUAUUUGUUAAAUGUGUAAAGCUCCUUAUCGCAAAAGCCUAAAUUGCAUGAUGCUCUUAGUCCACAAGAGCUUAAAAGGUGAAUAACAAAAAAAAAAAAAAAAAAACAACAACUCAAUUGAACUACGUUAUGACUUGAUCUCUGUGUUAUAAAAAGGAUACGUAGGCAGCUUAAAGAUUACUUUAAGUUCAGUCGCACGAAAAAAAAAAAUUAUGCUUCAUCGUGAUGAUGUAAUCUCAAUAGAAAAUGAAAUUCAUGAACAGUUACAACAGAAAAGAAAUGGGACAAAUGGGGCAAAGUCAAAGUAGCGAGCUCUACCUUUUCUCGCAAGUGUUGCAGCUGAAAAGAUAUUCAUCUUCAUCUUCUCUCAAGUGUUGCAGCUGAAAGGAUCUUUAUCUUCACCUUCUCCAUGUGUUGCAGCCGAGAGGAUUCAUCUUCACCUUCUCCAUGUGUUGCAGUCGGAAGGAUUUAUCUUCAUCUUCUCCAUGUGUUGCAGCCGAGAGGAUUCAUCUUCAUCUUUUCCAUGUGUUGCAGCCGAGAGGAUUCCUCUUCUCCCACGUAUUACAGCCGAGAGGAUUCAUUUUCAUCUUCUCCCACGUGUUAUAGUCAAAAGGAUUCAUCUUCAUCUUCAUCUUCUCCCACGUGCUGUAGCCAAAAGGAUUCAUCAUCAUCUUCUUCCACGUGUUGCAGACGAGAAGAUCAUCAUUUUCAUCUCCUAGGUGUUGCAGUCGUUAUCAUCUGCAUCCCCGAUGUGUUGCAACCGUCAUCAUCUACAUCUCUGAUGUGUCACUGCCGACAUCAUCUGCAUCUUCGAUAUGUCGCUGUUGUCACCAUCUGCAUCUUCGACGUGUCGCAACCAUUACCAUCUGCAUCUUCGACGUGUCGCAGUCGUCAGAAUCUCCAUCUGCAUGUGUUGCAGUCAUCAUCAUCUGCAUCUCUGAUGUGUUGCAACCGUCAUCAUCUGCAUCUUCAAUGUGUUGCAGGCGUCAUCAUCUGUAUCUUCGAUGUGGCUGUCACCAUCAGAAUCUUCGACGUGUCGCAGCCGUUAGAAUCUUCAUCUCCAUGUAUUGCAGUCAUCACCAUCUGCAUCUUUGAUGUGUUGCAGUUGUCAUCAUCUGCAUCUUCGAUGUGGCCGUCAUUAUCUUCGAUGUGUCGCAGCCGUCACCAUCUACAUUUUCGAUGUGUCGCAGCCAUCAGAAUCUCCAUCUCCAUGUGUUACAGUCAUCAUCAUCUGCAUCUCUGAUGUGUCGCAGCCAUCAUCAUCUGCAUCUUCGAUGGUCGUCAUCAUCUUUGAUGUGCCGCAGUCGUCACCAUCUGCAUCUUCGACGUGUCGCAGUCAUCAAAAUCUCCAUCUCCAUCUUCGAUGUACGAAUUUCAUCUCCAUCUUCGUCUUCCAUGUGCUCCAGUUGGUCGAAUCUCCAUCUCCAUUUUCGUCUUCGAUGUGUCGCAGUCAUUGGAUCUCCAUCUUCGAUGUGUUGCAGCCGAUCGGAUCUCCAUCUCCAUCUUCGAUAUGUGGAUCUUCAUCUCCAUCUCGGUCUUUCAUGUGCUGCCGUCGGUCGAAUCUCCAUCUCCAUUUCUGUCUUUGAUGUGCCGCAGUCGAUUGGAUCUAUAUUUACAUUUUUGUCUUCGAUGUGUUGCAGUCGAUCAGAUCUCCAUCUCCAUUUUCGUCUUCGAUGUGUCGCAGCCGAUCGGAUCUCCAUCUCUAUUUUCGUCUUCGAUGUGUUACAGCCGAUCGGAUCUCCAUCUCCAUUUUUGUCUUCGAUCAAGCUUGGUGUGCUCCACCAUAUAAAUUGACCAAACUUCGUAUAACAUUUUAAUCACACUUAUGUCCAAAUGCAUAGUAUGAUUAAAUUGACAUAUUAACUAGAACCAAAUCCAAGAACAAAUUCACUUAUUUCAGCUUAUCGUUUUCAAGAUUCACCCAUCAUAUAAACGUGCACAAAUCUCUAAAAGGAGACAUUUGUUGAGCAAGAAAUUUUGACCAAUUAAAUUACGCCACAUCAUCACAAUAAAUAUGAUGAUGAUUAUACUUUUGUUUGAGUUUGGAUAAUUAAGUUUACUCAACCCAACUCAAUUCAUAUCCAACAGAAAAAAUGGGCUCAAGCCCAAGUCGAAUAAGCAGAUGGGCCCAAGUUCAAACUCAACUCACAAAUGGGCUCAAGUCCAAGCCCAACAAUCAAAUGGGCCCAAGUCCAAGUCUAGCAAGCAAAUGAGCCCAAGUUCACCUAAAGCCCAUGAAAUUUCUCUAUAAAUAGAGACCAUUGCCAUUCAUUUUAAAAGGGGUCUUUGGUUGAAUAAAGAAUUGAACCUCUGAAGUACUGAAGAAUUGAAGAUUCAAACUUCUACAAGCUCUCAAGACGUCAAAGUUCAUAUCAACCUGGAGAUCAACAACUUCUGAAAGUUGGAAGAUUAAACUUUCCUUGGGUUCCAUAAGAUCGAAGUUCAAAUCAACUUGCAACUACAAUAUCCUAAAGAUCGAAGAUCAAAAAGUUAUAAGUUUUAACUUGUAUUCGAGAGAAAGCAUCAAAGAGUAAAUACUAGAGGUUGUAUGCACAAUAUUCAUCAAUAUAUAAAGUUCAAUUCCAC
rnacentral:lncRNA from 1 species